rnacentral:lncRNA from 1 species
GGUACCCAAGCCACGAGGAAGUGGAGCAAUUCAGCGCAAGACAGAGAGAAAUGGCUGAAAUGUCCAGGGCACGAGUGGAGAGAGGUGAACCAUCCUUAUUGGAUGAUACCUCUUCCGAUUCCUCUUCUGAUACCUCUUCCGAUUCCUCUUCUGAUUCCUCUUCUGAGAUAUAAUCGUAAUGAAGCUUAGGAUUGGAACAUGCGGUGGCUGCAGCUGUUGGAUUGCCUUUUCUGUUCAUUCAUGGCGGAUAGAUACUACUUUGUUGGUUGUUUUCUCGUGUGUUUAAUUACGUUCUUGGAAUAGCUAGUUGCGCAUGUUGGUCGAAUUUCCUUUGCUUGUAGGCUUGUACUGCUUGUCUUGGAAUAACUAUGAAACGAAUCAACCGCCAUCAAAUACUAAUCUCACCAGAAUUGUUCAGUUAGUUUUUCGUACGUACUAUUAUUAUAGCUAGAUCAGCAGUCAUGUUCUCCUAGACCUCGGGUUUACAGAAAUCAUGGCCACCCACCAUUUGAUCUUAAUCCAACGGUAGUAAGGCCAAGUACUGAUGGCACAGUACAUCUUUCUCCCAAAUUUUGAGCCUGCUAGAGUGACUCGAAUAGGAGAAACCCUCAAAGUAUGAGAGUACCACAAAAUUAGCAUCAGGUUUUUCCAGCUUCCGUUUUAACGUCACUCUGCCACCAUAAGUAGCUAGUGAAUGGAGCUGAAGCGCACAAGGAACGUGUACUAGCAGCAAAACAGAAGGCCAACCAUAAAUCCUAGAAGAGGCGGGACUUGCAUUGGAAGCAACUGCAGCAGCAAGCCUCAAGAGGCAACAAUUUUGGCGGCAGACUAAGCAGUUGAGAUGUUUUAUUAGAUUAAGCUGCAACCAUCCGUAAAUGCAGAUUUCGCAUCCAACAAUGCUCAGUUCAUAUCUUAGCUGCUGUUAUAUUUAUGGUUUCUCUUGCUUUUCUCUAAUUUUUAGUUAACCUAGCUUGUUUCAACAAGAUUUAGAACGGCCUUCUAUUUGUUUUAAUUUGUUUUAAUUUGUUUAAAUUUUUGUGAAAGCUAGUUACUAAUUGGCCACCUCUUUAACAUAUAUAUAGUCGUUUGUAUAUGUACAUCUAUAUAUAUACACUAGAAACGAAAGAUCACCCAAAUAUAACAAUUCCUUUAUUGCACAACCAGAUAACUCAUACAACUGUCAGACUAAGGCAGGAAAUUAGUAUUAAAACUAACGAUUGAAUUACAAAGUGAAGAGAUGAGGUAAGGUCUCCUGAGUUGUAAGAAUGAAGUAGCCAUUAUCCAGUACCAAAAAUUCUCAUGUCCACCUUUAUUCACAUCAUAGAAAGCUAUUGAUUGGCUACGGUUCAUAGAGCCAUGCGUAACUAAAUCAAUAAAGACCUAAAAUUUUGGAAAUACCCACUAUAGAAUCCCCUAAUACCAGUCCUUCUCUCUCCACCUUUCAAAAUCAACAACUUUUCUCUCCUUCCCAUCUCGAUAUAUACUAUAUGUUUGGAUCAAAACUUGAACUUUGUGCUCAAGAAAGGAGCUGGCCCAAAAGGAGGCCCGAAGGGAAAGUCAGCCGAAGCCCAGUCAAAGCCCAGAAAGCAGAAAGGGCCUUUUCUGACUUGGUGCAGCUCAUGAGGACCACUUGCUUACCUACCCAAAGGCCAAGUGGUAUAGACUAACCAGCUACACAGCCCAUAAAGUACUUUAUGAUGGCAGUACAUGUAAAAUAGCUGAUGAGUCAUCACCCUUCAAACCGCAUUCAGGCAAGGUUGCUGCUACAGGAGACCAAGCCGAGUUGUCUAUAUAAGAAGAAAGAGAAACCAGGAAUAAAGACACUCAAUCAAACAAACAAAUGCAAGCACAAACUCUGCUCAAAGCCAGAUUUUCCUUCAAAACAAAGCUGUAGUCAGCCCAAGCCUUCAUCCCUCUCGGGACAAGCCUUCAUCCCUCGCGGGAUAAACCUUCACUCAAACCCUUGUAAUAGCUCUGCUACCUUGUUCAACCUUACUGUAGUAUCGAUUCAUCUUUUGUAAAUCUCUCUCCCUUUCUGAAGCUUUCAUACCCUUGAUAAACUACAAAGAUAGGAACCUGCAAGACGACAAGGCUUGCCCGACAAGGUUAAAACCUUGCCCGACCUUCUUUGUUUUUGUCUUUUCAUUCAUUAGCCUAGCAAUAUGUUGUAUACUUCCAGUUAUAUUCAAGUUAUUUUUAGCAAGAUGACUAUUAAAAGGCUUUCUCAGUACUUGGAUCCGAUUUGAAUGUAUCUUCAGUGUUCAAACCAGAUCCAAGUCCUAAGCCCUCGGGCAUGUAAAUCUGAUUAGUUAAAAGUCCUUGGCCUCAAGGCAUAAAAAAGAACCUUAUAUGGACUUAACCCAUCCACGACAAUCCUUGAUAAACGAGAAGUCCGAAGUUACUUGGGGCGCAAGUAAUCGACCUACCUCUUAGUCUUAUUUCUAUUACAUUAUGAUUAUCAUAGAACGCUUAAGCAUGGGAAGGAUUCUGAUAGGAAGCCUCAAGGCCUACACCUAAGGCCCCACGAAGGCACCUAUUUAGAUUCAUUCCGUUAUGCGGUCUAGAACGUUUGAGUAUAAGAACGAACUCUAAUGGGAAGCCUCAAGGCCUACAUCUAAGGCCUUACAAAGGCACUUAUUUGGGUUCAUUCUACCUCUCGAACUCGGGUAAUCAGAAGUAUAAUAGUUAUAAGACUCAUGCAUUCACAAGAACAAAUAUGAUGUGUUCGAGCACUGGUUUAGUUAUUGAUAGGAAGCCUCAAGGCCUACACCUAAGGCCCCACAAAGGCACCUGUUAUAACUAACACGGUUUCUCGGGUAUAUACAUAUACAACCAAAACUCAACAUCCAUUUCACAUCUGCCAUACUAAAGAUGGCAGUGGCACGCCUGAGCACUUAAAAGUUAACCUUGAUUGUGAGCCUCAAGGCCUACACCUAAGGCCCCACAAAGGCACCUCUCAAAGUUAACUAUGUCCUUCUUUUUCAGCCUUACCCGACGAGACUUGCCCGACAAAGCCCGAUAGUGAAGCAGAAGCCCGACAGCAGCCCUCAACCGGCGCCAACCUCCCGGGGAGCUGUGUGCUCGUCGGCAAGGAAACAUCCCCGACGGAAAUUCCUGACGCGAACACUAUAUAACAACAAUUUCUGGAUUCAUUUCAGAAAAUUUUGAAUUUUUAUCCAUGAACACACAGGUACAAAGCUCAAACCAAUACAAACAUUCUCAUUUUAUUUGUGGUACCACUUCGAAACCAAUAUCUAAACACAAUUCAAUCAAAUGCCCCCCACCCCUAUAAAAGAAUUUCAAAAUUUACCUAAAAUUGUAACAAAGCUUGGGGACGCUCAUCUUGUGCUGCAAAUUGGACUUGGGUUGCUUGAGCCUGAUACAGAAGACGACGGUGGGGUUGACUGCGUCUUCCUCCAUGGGAUCGUCGGGCUCAUCCACGGGCUCUACCUCUUCGUCUUCUUCUCCUUCUCCUCCAAUGCUCUCAAUACUCCCCGUUUCGAGCUUGUCGCUCUCAAGGGAAUGAGUUACAGGCUCAUCGUCAGAGCAAAACUCACCUGGAAACGCCGGAUUAGAUCGGUUCCAACCAAAUCCCAAUCGAAUCCAAAAUAGGUACAAAUCUCUAAUAUCUGAUAUCAACAAAAAAAAAAAAAAAACACACGAAAAAAAAUGCAAAAUCAAAACCCUCGCUGUCAGAAACAUGAAAAACUUCUUGUAAAGGACCGAUCGAAUAAGCGGAAAAAUAUUUCGAACCCAACCCAAAAGAAGCAUAAAUUAACAAUAAUCGAAGAACAACAAAGCAAAGGGCUCAAUAUUUUGAACAACAAAACCAAUGAAGAAAGAUGAAAACAGAAAUCAGAACGGCAGACAAUGGAACCCGAGGUAUGCGAGAGAGGAAAGAGGAAAGGAAAAGAAAUGCCUGGAACGAUUCUGCUCUCCGUUUGACAGCAAAGCAAAAGUAGCAAAGUUGAAAUAACUACAAAAAAGCCAGGGCAAAAAGGGAAGUACACUGUUAAUGAACAGUAACUUUUGUGUUGAGUUUUAGUAUGUGUAUAAUGUGUGUGUGUGUGCGUGUAUUGUUACAACUCGCUAACUUUUCUUCUGGAGACAAACGACUGAGACUCGUCUAUAUAUAUAUAUAUAUUGUUUAAAUUUUCGUACAAGCUAGUUACUAGUUGGCCACCUCUUUAACAUAUAUAUAGUCGUUUGUAUGUGUACAUAUAUGUACAUCUAUAUAUAUAUGUGUGCGUGUGUGUGUGUGUGUGUGUGUGUGUGUGUGUGUUGUUAUGAUUCGGCGCUAGCUUUUCUUGGUGUGGGGUGGAUUCGGGCUGCAGGUAGGUUGGAUCCACCUUCAUCAACUCUUUUACAAGUUGGUAUCACCUUCUUCCCCCCCCCCCCUCUGUGAUGAGCGGACCAACGGAUCCCUUCUCAGAGUGGUGUAGUUUUUUCACUCACCUUAUGUGCACCGUGGUGGCGCUGUUGUUUUGGCUAGAUUGGUCUUCGCCUUUGUGCAAUGCGUUUUGUAGUCUCGUCUGUCAACGAUGACUUGAUAUGGUCUCACUCUACCGCAAUGACUUUAUAUCGCCUCGUUAUUCAGCGAUGACCAUUGUGGCUGCCUGUAUUGCUCUGUUGCGGCUAUCGUUUAUUGUGACAGUUCUGUACUAGUGGCACUUGUGCAUUUGGCGAUUGUGUGUUCGUGCUUGUGGUAGUCUACUAGGGGUUUACUCUUAUUUGUCUGUUUGCGCAAAUUCACUCUUUAUUGGUCAUUGGAGCUAUGUACCCAAUGACACCCUUGUAUUUGUUUGUGUUGAUUAAUAAAAUACCACACUAUUAUUUCUUAAAAAAAAAAAAAAAAAGGAGGAUGAAGGUGCGGCUUGUUAAAUAUUUGAAUACGUUAUUCAUAACAACAUUGGCAAUUGGCACGACAAAACUUUAACUUGCUGUCAAGGUGGUUAUAUUAUCAAUCUUUUUGGUUUUUAAAAUUAAAUAUAUAUUUCGGUUUGUAACCGAUCCUUUCGUGUUCGGGUCGGUUUUUUUAUUUCGAUUUGGUUUUUUAUUUGGGUCAAUUUUUUUUUCGAGUUAAGUUUGAUGUCCCAUUCGAAUUUUUAGGUUUUUCAUUUUUUUGAAGGGGCUUUUAGAUCUAGUUCCAAAAAUAUAAAUGAUUUUUAGAAGUGAGUUCAAUUAUCUAAUUAUAUGUUUUCAUUUCUUUUAUACUUAUUUUAUAUUAAAAUAUUAAAAAUCAAUUAAAAUCUUCUAAUAUUAAGCAUUUUUCAACUCCAAAAAUUCUAAUUAAUAUCUUAUAACAAAAAAAAACUAAUAUAGUAACAUAAAUUAUCUACAAAACAUUCUACCUUAACUCAAGUAACAAAUAUAUGAAUGUAUAUUAUACAUGUAAGCAAGAUAUGAAACCUAACUAAAAAGUAGGAAAAAAACAUAAUAUACUUACAAGCAAGACACAUUAAGCUGUGACACGUUGAUUAUAAAAAAAGAAUCUGUCAUAUAGAUAAAUAAAAAUAAUUAAUCUAUGAUAUAGGUUGAUUAUAAAAAUUAAAAAUAAAAUCUAUAAAUGAGGUUUAAAGCAGGAGGAAGAACAAGAAAUAACAAAAAAUAAAAAUACAUAAUCAAAGAGAUAAUUAGGAAGCAAUUUGAUUUUUAUAAUAAAUAUUAUUAUUGAAUAGAUAAUUAUUGAUAAUAAAAUAAUUAAAUUUAAAGAAUUGGACUUAUUUUAAUAAAUUGGACUAUUCCUACUAUGGGCUAAAAAAAUGGGACUUAUAUCAAGUUUUCCCUUUUUUUAAACCCACCCCAUUAAGCACACUUAAGUAGAUGGAGAAAUGAUUGAUAUCUUAUUUUUGGAUAAUGAUAGGGAGAUUAAACUUUUUAAACCAAAUGAUGUGGUGAUUAAUGAUUAUAUCAUUACUUAAGCGUUGAUUAACGUAUUGAUUUAAAAUUUUAGUGUUCCUAAUAUUAUCCUUUAUUUAUAUAAAGAGCCGGACGGUCAAAUGACGUGGAAUAAGUUGUGUGUAUAAGGGUAAUUUCAUUGUUUUGUCAAAAGCGUAACCCUAAAAGGUAAAUCUCCAAACUCGUGCAAUCUCUCUGAGUCUCUUUCGCACAGACGAAGCCAUGAUCCGGGUACCCAGAGGCGACGCCAAGCGCGGAGGCGGAGGCAGAGGCAGGGCCAAUUGGCUCGCGCGAUCAGAGUCCGGGCGGGGGAAGAAUCCAGCCCAACCGGCGGAGCUCCGAGGUGAGAUCCGGAUUUGUCUUGGUGUAUAUAUAUGCGUUUGGUUUCUGUUUUAGGGUUUGUAAAUUCUGUAUAGUAACCAAAAAUGUUGCAGAUUAAUUGCUGUUAAACCCAAAAUACAAAGGUGCCCUGCUCCCUUAAUUUGACCUGUUAAUUAGCUGAGUAAAUAUAUCUAGUAUUAGUUAAUUUAUGUGCAACAAGCAGAUGAAAAGAAAGAAACAAAAGCUGUCGAAAGCUCUAUAAGUAAACUCCAACUUGAUGAUGAUACUCCUACUGCAAAGAAGAAACGUUACCGUGAGUCUAAGAAAUGCCAUUCUCAGAAUGAGCAUUGUGCAGUUUGCCUUAUGGACGGCCACCACCAAUAUCUGUGUCCCUACCGGGAAAGUGUCCCGUUGGGCGUAACUGAAGUUGGAGAGGGCUAUAUACUAAUGUGUAGGACUUGUGGUUUUGUGGGUAACGUCUGCCUUCAUGGCCGCUCUUAUGCUCGUCCCUAUAGGCGGUGUUAUGCGCGUCUGAAACAUGGGUACCCAAGCCACGAGGAAGUGGAGCAAAUCAGGGCAAGACAGAGAGAAAUGGCUGAAAUGUCCAGGGCACGAGUGGAGAGAGGUGAACCAUCCUCAUUGGAUGAUACCUCUUCCGAUUCCUCUUCUGAUACCUCUUCCGAUUCCUCUUCUGAUUCCUCUUCUGAGAUAUAAUCGUAAUGAAGCUUAGGAUUGGAACAUGCGGUGGCUGCAGCUGUUGGAUUGCCUUUUCUGUUCAUUCAUGGCGGAUAGAUACUACUUUGUUGGUUGUUUUCUCGUGUGUUUAAUUACGUUCUUGGAAUAGCUAGUUGCGCAUGUUGGUCGGAUUUCCUUUGCUUGUAGGCUUCUACUGCUUGUCUUGGAAUAACUAUGAAACGAAUCAACCGCUAUCAAAUACUAAUCUCACCAGAAUUCAUAUAAGACUAAUCCAAUAAUGCAACCACAAAGAUAUUGGAAUUAAUAUUCCUAGUAUCAAUGAAGAAAUGGGACUAAGUUGCCUAUAUGCUUGCCUAAAUUCUUCCGAAAGUUAUCUGCUUUCUAUCAAUUGUAUGCACGCAUAUGCAUAUAAAGUGUUGUAUAGCCUUUGUAAAUUAGCUUGGAGUUGUUUAAAAACUUUAGUCAUAUGAAUUGCCAAUUUAGUACAUCCAAGCAAUCAUCUAAGUGAAAUUAGGUCCUUAUACUAUUUUUUUUUCAGAAAAAUCAGUCCUUGAAUUAUAAAAAUAUGCCAAUUACAUCCCUAAUAUUAUAGUCAAAACUACUAUAUUCAAUUUUCCGUCAAUUUAAAUCAUGGUACUUGCAUGUAAUACACAUUGGAAGGUAGAUUAGUAGUUAACUUUGGAGGACAAAUUAGUAGUUUUUCAUAAGAAAUAGUGUAAGUUAACUUUGGAGAUUAAAUUAGACGUUAGAUUCGCAACCUAUAUGAAAUGUUAAGGGUUUAUAGGUGAGAAAAUAGUGGUAUUACACUUUAAGGUGUGUCAAGUGAUUUAAGUUGACAAAAAAUUGGAUAAAAUAGCUUUGAAUAGGUUUUUUAUAUUAGCACCCCACAAAAUGUUGAAUGCACCCCACAUUAAAAUUUAAUAUUAAAUAACUAUUUACUCCACUAUGUAAUGAUAAUUUUGACCUUAUUAGGUUUAAAAAAAAAAUUUAAUUCUAAAUACACCCUAAAUCACCUUUAGCGUAUUAUUUCUUUUUUUCAACUAUCAAAACCCCUCUCACCCUCCAUUGUUGAAUGAAACCCUAACCAAUGAAACUACAGACAUGUUGAUUGAGAAAAAUUAUUUUUGAUUAAUGGAACACGAAAUCGAAAUACCUUCCACAUGUAUUGAGAGAAGGUAAUUUUGAAGGUCUAAUGGAAUCAUUUGGUGCCAAUCCCCAUCAAAUUUGUUGGUUCUUUUAUGUUAUUUGUAUUAGAAAGAUGGAGACCUAGUUCUUUUCGACAAACAAAAAAAAAGAUGGAGACCUAGUUCUUCAAUAUAUGAAUGACAACAUAUGUCUGGGAAAACCCACCUUAUCAUCCCCAAGAGAAAAGUUUAGCGAUUAAGAAAGGCAACAUUUUCUGCGGCCACCCUUGAGAAAAGGGGUAGCAACUAUAGGAAUCUAUUUCAAUUGAAUGUUAGACAGCCACACGCAUGAAAUUGAGUUGCAUUUGUUCAUAUAGUAUUAAAUAUCAAUGGCUCUUAGAUGAUUUGAAAUCAUUCGGCAAACGAAAUGUUCAAAUGUUUAGAUUCAGUCCAUGAAAAUUAAAAAUGAGUGUUAUAAGAUUUGAUAAAUGUGGGGUGUAUGUAGAAAAUAUAAGAUGUAUAUUGAGAAUGUAGGGUGUGGGGGUAUUAUGGAGAAGUAUGUGGGGUGUAUUAAGAUAAUUUUUAAGUGAAAAAGCAAAUGUUGGGUGUAUUAAGUAUGUGGGGUUUAUUCAACAAUGUGUGGGGUGUUAAUAUAAUAAGCCCUUUGAAUAUAAUAGUAGGGAUCAAAUUAGCAAUUUUUAAUGAAUUUAGGGACUUAUUUUAUAAAAAAAAAAUUCAAGAACCUAAUUUUCACUGAGGUGAUAGUACUAAAUCAGCACUUCACCCUUAUUUUUAUAGAAGAAUGAACACAUGUUUCGGGUGCAAUGCAAAGUCACAACACUUUCAGCGUUCCAAAACUAAGACGUUGUCACCAACGGUUUUGUCCCAAAUGCAUGUAAUAGACGAUAUUUUCCGUUGCAAAUUUCAAUUUAUCUGUCGAUUGAUGAAUUGAUUAGUUGAAGCCAGAACUGAUUAUGAGUUGCAAUCUUCAACCGAGAUUCUUCACUUAUUUUCAUGGAGAAUCAGUGCCGGUGAAGACGUUAAGUUAUAUAUUGUCAGAUCUGUAACGAAAUGGAACGCUGAAGAUUUCACGUCAUCUGUGAAAUUCUGUUGUAUAACAUGAAGCAGUGAAAUUGAAUAUAGUUGACUAAUACUGUUGCUAAAAUGUUGUUAAUCGCAGAAACUCUAGCGUAAGUUGAUGGAAAGCAUCAACAAUCGUCUACUCUUGGGCUGUUCAUAUCAGCAUUUUUUUUUCAACUUCAACUAAGUAGAUCUCUAAUUGUUCAGUUAGUUUAUCGUACGUACUAUUAUUAUAGCUAGAUUAGCAAUCAUGUUCUCCUAGACCUCGGGUUUACAGAAAUCAUGGCCACCCACCGUUUGAUCUUAAUCCAACGGUAAUAAGGCCAAGUACUGAUGGUUGUUUGAAAUAGUACCAGGCAUGGUAUUUUAGGUUGAUUUAAAAUGCACAAAGAUUGAAACUUUAUGACAGAAUAUUGCAGAGAAAAGAAUGAGCUUAGAGAAUAGAGAAUGUUCAGAGUUCUUGAUUGAAAUCGAAGAGGGAAUUUACAAGCCUAUAUCACUAAAUCAGUCAAAUGCUCAGAUCCUAUAUUUUAGGGAGCAAGGACUGAUCUCUAGCCAUUCAGGCCAUCGGAGGCUACGAUCCUUCCACUUGGGAGAGGAUCGAAUUGAUAAAGUUUGUUUGUUUUGUGUUUUGAUUGAGUGUUUGAACCGGUUUCUUUUUAUUAGAAUGACAGAGAAUGGAGAGAGCUUGGAGGUUGGAUAUUGGCUGUGCUAAAGAAUGUAGCAGCCCUGAUUGAUUAAGUAAGGUGAGAUUUUACAAGGGUAUGGUGCAUUGCCAUCACCCAUACUUGUUAAAAAAAAAAUGAUUGACAAGAGACUUUAACAACCAUUUAAGCCUUACUACUCCAAAUUACAUCAUAACCCUUCAUUUGGGGGUUAAGUGAUUUAAUCUGGAGUGUACACUUGUCACUCACACACUUACACCCACAUUUAAACAAAAUAGUCGUUGGAGACUAAAACCCUUCAUCUUAUUUCUUCUUCUUCGAUGCAGACAACACCCUUUGCUCGGGAGCCCCUUGCUGCCUUCGACCCCUCGACUCCAGGAGUUGGUUAGCUUCCAACUCCCUUCUAAACUGCUUCUGGGAGUCAAUCCGAGCAAACCCCUCAGGUAAUUGAAUCUCUCAUUCGGUAGUGCUUUUGUGAAUAUGUCUGCGAUCUGAUCUUCUGUGCUGCAAUAGAUUAGCGGUGUUGUCCUACAAUGCUUCUCUGAUGAAAUGAUAUCUUCUCUUGAUGUGUUUUGUUCUCUGAUGAAAUACUGGGUUUUUAGUCAUGGCAAUUGCAAAGGUGUUGUCACACAAAAGUGGUGUGGCUUCAACCUGCAAUUCGCCAAAAUCUUCAAUUAUGAACCUUAGCCAAAUAGCUUGAGCUGUAGCUUCUGAUGCACUCACAUACUCUGCCUCGGCUGUGGACAGUGCAACACUUUGUUGCUUCACAGAGGCCCAUGAAAAUACCCCUGAUCUGAAAGUGAAAGCAUAGCCAGAUGUGUUUCUGCUAUCAUCUUCACUGCCACUCCAGUCACUAUCACAAAAUCCAAUUAGGAUAGAUGACCUUCCCAUCUCAUAGUUGAUCCCAUAAUCAAGGGUUCCUUGUACAUAUCUUAGUACUCUCUUAGCUGUGCCCAUAUGUAUCUUGCUAGGAUUCUGCAUAAACCUAGAAAGUAGGCUUGCUGAGAACAUUAGAUCCGGCCUUGUUGCAGUUAGAUACAAUAGACUGCCAACAAUACUUUUAUAGAGACUAGCAUCUGCAGGUUCACUUCCAUCCUCCUUCUUAAGCUUCUCAUUUACAAUUAGGGGUGUAAAGACUGGUUUGCAACCCUUCAAACCAAACUUCUCAAGCAAAGUUUCAACAUACUUCUUUUGAUGAAUAAAGAUGCUACUUGCUUCUUGAAUUACCCCAAUACCAAGAAAAUGAUGCAAGAGGCCUAGGUCAGUCAUUUCAUACCUCUUCAUCAUUUCUUCCUUGAACUCUUCAAUCAUUUCAGCAUCAUUUCUAGUGUAGACAACAUCAUCCACAUAGAUUGAGACAAUGAGUGUCUUGUUGUUGCUUUCUGUCUUGGUGUAGAGUAUAGCUUCACUAGGACUUUUCUAAAAUCCUUUCUCAGUGAAAUAGGAAUCAAUCUCACUGUACCAAGCUCUUGGAGCUUGUUUUAGGCCAUAAAGAGCCUUCCUUAACUUGUACACUUUUUCUGGAAACUCUUGACUUGUGAACUUUUAAGGUUGUUCCACAAACACCUCCUCCUCUAGCACUCCAUUUAGAAAUGCAGAUUUAACAUCCAAUUGAUGCAACUUCCAACCCUUCUUGGCAGCUAGGGCUAUCAAGGUCCUUAUGGUGUCUAACCUUGCUACUGGAGCAAAGGUUUCAUUGAAGACUACACCAGGCUUCUGUGAGUAACCUUUGGCCACUAACCUGGCCUUGUUCUUUUGCACAGAACCAUCCAGAUUUAGCUUCACUUUGUACUCCCAUUUUACACCAAUCACAGGCUUGUCACUUGGUCGAUUUACAAGUUCCCAAGUGUCAUUCUUUUCUAUCAUUUCAAGCUCUUCCUUAAUUGCUUUCUUCCAAGCUUUGUCUUUCUCAACUUCUUCAUAUGUUUCUGGUUCUACUACACAAUAAUUACAUUUAGCAUAAAUCUCAUCCAGGUUUCUCAAUCUUACUGGAGUUAAAUUAGGAGUUGUUGUCUGUGAUUGACUUGAUUGUGGACUCAUAGUAGCUUGUUGUGGAGUCCCUUGUAUGUCAGCAUUAUCUGUGACUUCUUCUUAAACUGAGGUCUCCAUAGGCUCCCUUGUUUGCCUUUUGUUUAGGUCAAUUUGUAGAGAGACGCUGUCCUUUUCCUCUACCAUUAUAUCCCAGUUCCACAUUGAGUCUUCAUCAAAUAUAACAUCCCUUAAUAGGAUUAUCUUCUUAGUCAACACAUUAUAAACUCUGUAUCCUUUCUCACUGGUACCAUAGCCUACAAAAACACCCUUGUUAAUUGAUUUCUCCAACUUGUGUCUUAGUUGGUGAGGGAUGAGAGUGUAGUACACUGAGCUAAACACUCUCAGAUGCUUCACAGAAGGCUUCCUUCCACUGAACACUUCAAAUGGAGUCUUAUUCUCCAAUGCUUUAGUAGGACACCUAUUUAAUAGGUACACUGAGGUGUUCACAGCUUCACCCCAAAAUUUAUAAGGCAUGUUCUUCUCAUGCAUCAUAGACUUAGCUAUUUCGACUAUAGUCCUAUUCUUCCUUUCUGCAAUCCCAUUAUGUUGUGGUGAAUAUGCCACAGUGAGUUGCUUCUCCAACCCCACAUCUUCACAGAAUGCAUUGAACUCAUAUGAGGUGUACUCACCUCCCCUAACACUUCUUAGUCUUUUGAUUUGGUAUCCACUUUGCAAUUCCACCAUUGCCUUGAACUUCUUGAAUAUUGUGAAUACCUCAGACUUGAACCUCAUGAAAUACACCCAACACAUCCGUGAAUAGUCAUUAAUGAAAGUUAGGAAAUACCUGUUUCCACUGAUUGUUGUUGUUUUCAUUGGUCCACACACAUCUGAGUGAAUCAAUUCGAGUGGCUUUGUUGCCCUCCAAGCCUUUCCAGCUUCAAAUGAAUCUCUAUGAUGUCUGCCAAACACACACCCUUCACAGGUUUCAUUGCACUGAUCCACCUUUGGUAUACCUUGCACCAUUUCAUCCUUUUGCAGAUUUUGUAAGCUUGUCAUGUUUAAAUGACCGAGUCUCUUGUGCCAUAGCUUCAUAGAACUUGUCACACUUGCUUUCUUUGCCACUUCUUCUAAGUACUUCAGCACAAGUGGAAAGCUUCUGUUUUUCACUUCCACUUUGGUCACUAAGUUUGAUAGGGAUCUGUCAUCAUAGAUCUCAACCAUAGUUCCCCCAAAGAGUAGAAAAUAGCCAUGCUCCAUCAUUUGACCCACACUAAGUAGAUUCUCAUCCAAUCCAUGCACUAGCAUCACCUCCCUUAUGCAUCUUCUUCCUUUCUUGGUGUUGAUAAUCAGAGUUCCUCUUCCAGUGGCUUUAACAAUGUUUCCAUCACCCAUUUUCACUUUUCCAAUGAAGUUUGUGUCGAUGUCAAUGAGUAAUGACUCAUGUGCAGUCAUGUGGUUACUGCAGCCACUAUCAAUGUACCACACUUCAUUGUUUCUCUCCACUUUUGCAUUGAAAGCAAAGAACACAUUUGCUUCUUCUUCCACUUGAUUUGCACAGUUCACUUGUUACACAUUCUUUGAUCUGCAGUCCUUCAUAAUGUGCCCAAACCUGUUGCAUUUGUGACAUCUAGGCUUGUCCUUGAACCAACACUCCCCAAGAUGGAAUUUAUCACAGUGCUUGCAUUGUUGCUUGGUUCUUGGACCUGCAUUGAUGUUGCUGCCUUGGUUAGGUCUUGAGUUGUGAUACCCUUUUCCUUCCCAUUCUUGUUCUUGCCCUUCCACUGUGGUUUUUGAUUGCUUGCACUAGCUUGACUACUAGAUCCAACAUUGAGUAAUUGAAAGGCUUUCUCAGGUGCAGAGUCAGCAUGCUGAUGAGUAGAUUUUAUAUUAUAUAUUUUACCCUAAUCUUAGUAUAUUUUGGUUAAUAUAUUGGAAGAAUUUUGAUACUUUGAAUUGUAUUUUCAAUAUAGAACUUUCGACUUCCUCUGGAGAAAAACAGGACCAAAUGGACGAAUUUUGGAGUAAUUCCAAUUGGAGGACGUUCGUGAGUCACUUAGCUUGAUCGUAUCAAAAUUUGGGAUUUUUUCACCAAGCGGUUAGUUUCUGGCGAUGAAAUAAAGAAGCAGUGCGCAGUGCUGGAAAAUGACGUUUUUUGGCUUAAAUGACGUUUUUGGAGCCCAAGAUGACCUCGGAUGGGUUCGUGGCCUUCUGGAAAAGUGUUCAGAAUAUUCCAAACAUCAAAUCCAGCUAUAUUGGGCCAGUUUUGGAGCAGCUUAUGGGCCAAAACGUGGCUGUUCAGAUUUUAGACGAAUUUUAUCAUUUAAUUUAGGGUUAUGUUUCCUAGGGUUUGUGGAGAGGCUUGGCAGAUAUAUUGCUUGGCCGUCUACAAUUUUUCUACGUUUUCUUUUAUGCAAUUUUGGAGAGAGAGAAGUGCUAGGGUUUUGAAGAUUUUCUACUUGAAGGUGUUAUCAAUCCUUUUCUCGAAUAUAUUUUCUAUGAUUUCAAUUAUGAAUAUGCGGAACUAAUUUCUUUUGCUAGGGCGAAGCCUUGAGCCUUAGCAUGAAUAUGUUAUUUUUAUUUAAUUGCUUAUGAUUGAUUGCAUGCAUAUUUUGAAUUGUUAAUCACCGGGAUAAAAACUAUCUAAUUGUCUUAAUGCCUGAUCACCAUUAGGAUCUUUAGAAAAGUAAUUUGAUGCAAUUUUGGUCGGAAGGUUCCCUGAAAUUGACGCUGGCUUCUUGUGAUUAAUAAUUGUAAUUUCUCUUAGGAUGAAUAUCACGUCUUAAGGAUUGCAUGGUUUUUCAAAGGAUUUUCAUAAAGCAUAAUGAGUCUUUCAUGUUCAGAUUUGAUCCGAAUGUCCGGACGGGUUGCAUGUUAGAUAUACGUUCUAUGUUGGAGGUUCCAAGUAGAAUAUGAAUUAGGAAAAUCUAACCUUCAAAGUGGCAUGUGUAGAUCAUAAGUAAUUGGUAAAAAUUCAUAGGAUUGCUAGGUGAUGGUGGAACCCUAGUGCUUUCUUAAUUUUAUUCUCCCAAAACUGUUUUCUUUCUCUCUAGCUCUAAUAUUGCAGAUUGUUUAUUUUAAUUCAUUAAUUUCGUUUUUAUUUUAAUUAGGUUUUAAAAUCAAUCACUUCAAUUUCUACUUUACAAUAAUUAAAUGGAAUCUGAUUAGUUCGAAUUAUUUAAUAAUCCCUGUGGAGAUGACCUUGCGAAAUCCGUUUAUACUACAACAACCUUGUGAUUCUUGCAAGUAAAAUAGGAGAUUUAAGCCCGUUCACAUGAGUAGUAAAAAUCCCUAUCACAUGCCUCUCGAGUCUUUGAUCAAAAGCUCUUAAGGAUGCCAUUACAUCUUGUACACUGAGAGUUUCAGUGUCUUUGGUUUCUUCUAUAACACUCAUUAUUGAAUCAUAGGGUUUAUUCAAACUAAUCAAUAGUUUUUGGACAAUUCUUUCAUUAGGCAGUUCCUCACCAUAUGUUUUCAUCUUGUUUACAACAUCAAACAGUCUAGUGAAGUAGUCUUUUAACAGCUCAUUUUCCCUCAUUCUUGUAUACUCAAAAUCUCUUCUAAGGGACUGAAGUUUUACCUUUCUAACGUUAGUGUCUCCUCUGUACUCUUGCUGUAAAACUUCCCGAGCUCCUUUUGCAGUCUCUUCAUUUGCUAUCCUCGGAAAAAUGGUGUCUGAGACAGCCCCAUCCGAUUCUGCUUCAGUGUUUUGAGUUGUGUUUCUGUGAGAUCCUUCUCUAGAGCAUCGAUCUCCAAGUGCUCUAGCAUCCUCCAUCCGAUUCUGCUUCAGUGUUUUGAGUUGUGUUUAUGUGAGAUCCUUCUCUAGAGCAUCGAUCUCCAUCUCAGGUAGUUCAUACCCGUGUUGAACCAUAUCCCACAGAUCAUAGGAUUUGAAAAUGGUUGUCAUUCUUAUUCUCCAAAAAUCAUAAUUCUCCCCAUCAAAGACUGGAGCUUUUAGCUCACUGCUACUGUUGGAUCCCUUCAUUUUAGGGUAGUUUGUUGAUUGUUGUUGUAGAAGACACUACGUUGGUGCUUCCGGAAAUCUCUAUUUGCACAGAUUACGCCUAGACUUCUCUUUUUUUUUUUUAGAUCAGUAACAAAGCUCUGAUACCAUGAUAAAGUUUGUUUGUUUUGUGUUUUGAUUGAGUGUUUGAACCGGUUUCUUUUUAUUAGAAUGACAGAGAAUGGAGAGAGCUUAGAGGUUGGAUACUGGCUGUACUAAAGAAUGCAGCAGCCCUGAUUGAUUAAGUAAGGUGAGAUUUUACAAGGGUAUGGUGCAUUGCCAUCACCCAUACUUGUUAAAAAAAAUGAUUGACAAGAGACUUUAACAACCAUUUAAGCCUUACUACUCCAGAUUACAUCUUAACCCUUCAUUUGGGGGUUAAGUGAUUUAAUCUGGAGUGUACACUUGUCACUCACACACUUACACCCACAUUUAAACAAAAUAGUCGUUGGAGACUAAAACCCUUCAUCUUCUUUCUUCUUCUUCGAUGCAGACAACACCCUUUGCUAGGGAGCCCUUUGCUACCUUCGACCCCUCGACUCCAGGAGCUGGUUAGCUUCCAACACGAAUAACACAGUACAACCUAGACAGAUAAGAAUAACAGUUGUACAGGUUUCUAAUAAUAGAAAGUAAACUAGCCGUUACAUAUUUGAAUCUAACGGCUACUUGCUAAAAAUAGCAAGUUCUUCAUCUCUUCGAUUUCAAUAUUCUCUUCAGCUUCUUUCUGCAGGAUUGUCAUCUGCAGAUCGAUAUUAAGCUAGUAUGCAGCUUAAAUCUCAACAAUGGCACAAUACAUUUUUUUCUUCCAAAAUUUUGAGCCUGCUAGAGUGACUCGAAUAGGAGAAACCCUCAAAGUUUGAGCGUACCACAAAUUAGCAUCAGGUUUUUCCAGCUUCCGUUUUAACGUAACUCUGCCACAGAAAGUAGCUAGUGAAUGGAGCUGAAGCGCACAAGGAACGUGUAAUAGCAGCAAAACAGAAGGCCAACUCUAAAUCCUAGAAGAGGCGGGACUUGCAUUGGAAGCAACUGCGGCAGCAAGCCUCAAGAGGCAACAAUUUUGGCAGCUGACUAAGCAGUUGAGAUGUUUUCUUAGAUUAAGCUGCAACCAUCCGUAAAUGCAGAUUUCGCAUCCAACAAUGCUCAGUUCAUAUCUUAGCUACUGUUUUAUUUAUGAUUUCUCUUGCUUUUCUCUAAUAUUUAGUUAACCUAGCUUGUUUCAACAAGAUUUAGAACGGCGUUCUAUUUGUUUUAAUUUGUUUUAAUUUUCGUGAAGGCUAGUUACUAGAUGGCCACCUCUUUAACAUAUAUAGUCGUUUGUAUAUGUAUAUAUAUGUACAUCUAUAUAUAUAUGUGUGUGUGUAUUGUUACGAUUCGCUAACUUUUCUUCUGGAGACAAACGACUCAGACUAGGCUAGAUUUUUUGGGGGUAUGUAAAUUUUGCUAAUUUAAGAAUAACAAGUAGGUGGUAGUUACAACUGCAUGCUCCAAUGCAACAAAGGAGUAUUUGGGGAGGCACAAAGACAAGAUGGUUAGGGAAUUUGGUUAUAGGGGUCUUUUGAUAUGGGUCCAAUUGGACUAAAAAUUGGACCUAUUUCAAAAAUCAAAAGUCACUAAAAAUUGAUAUGGGUUUUGUUUAAACCCACCCCGUUAAGCACACUUAAGUAGAUGGAGAAAUGAUUGAUACCUUAUUUUUGGUAAUGAUAGUAAGAUUAAAUUUUUUAAACCAAAUGAUAUGGUGGUUAAUGAUUAUGACAUUACUUAAGCGUUGAUUAACGUAUUGAUUUAAAAUUUUUGUGUUUCUAACAUUAUCCUUUAUUUAUAUAAAGAGCCGGACGGUCAAAUGACGUGGAAUAAGUUGGUGGUGUGUAUAAGGGUAAUUUCAUUGUUUUGUCAAAAGCGUAACCCUAAAAGGUAAAUCUCCAAACUCGUGCAAUCUCUCUGAGUCUCUCUCGCACAGACGAAGCCAUGAUCCGGGUACCCAGAGACGACGCCAAGUGCGGAGGCGGAGGCGGAGGCAGGGCCAAUUGGCUCGCGCGAUCAGAGUCCGGGCGGGGGAAGAAUCCAGCCCAACUGGCGGAGCUCCGAGGUGAGAUCCGGAUUUGUCUUGGUGUAUAUAUAUGCGUUUGGUUUCUGUUUUAGGGUUUGUAAAUUCUGCAUAUUAACCAAAAAUGUUGCAGCUUAAUUGCUGUUAAACCCAAAAUAUAUGCGUUUGACGAAACAUAUCAAACAAAAAUUUGCUGUUUUUCGUCACUGUGCGAGAAUUACCCUUAAAUUAAUUACAUGCCUAGUUUUUUGUUUCGAUAGAAUUCCCUUUUUAUAUUGAAAAUAUGUAUCUAUUUUUGGUGGCUCUCUUAAUUUGACCUGUUAAUUAGCUGAGUAAAUAUAUCUAGUAUUAAUUAAUUUAUGUGCAACAAACAGAUGAGAAGAAAGAAACGAAAGCUGUCGAAAGCUCUAUGAGUAAACUCCAACUUGAUGAUGAUACUCCUACUGCAAAGAAGAAACGUUACCGUGAGUCUAAGAAAUGCCAUUCUCAGAAUGAGCAUUGUGCAGUUUGCCUUAUGGACGGCCACCACCAAUAUCUGUGUCCCUACCGGGAAAGUGUCCCGUUGGGCGUAACUAAAGUUGGAGAGGGCUAUAUACUAAUGUGUAGGACUUGUGGUUUUGUGGGUAACGUCUGCCUUCAUGGCCGCUCUUAUGCUCGUCCCUAUAGGCGGUGUUAUGCGCGUCUGAAACAUGGGUACCCAAUCCACGAGGAAGUGGAGCAAAUCAGGGCAAGACAGAGAGAAAUGGCUGAAAUGUCCAGGGCACGAGUGGAGAGAGGUGAACCAUCCUCAUUGGAUGAUACCUCUUCCGAUUCCUCUUCUGAUACCUCUUCCGAUUCCUCUUCUGAUUCCUCUUCUGAGAUAUAAUCGUAAUGAAGCUUAGGAUUGGAACAUGCGGUGGCUGCAGCUGUUGGAUUGCCUUUUCUGUUCAUUCAUGGCGGAUAGAUACUACUUUGUUGGUUGUUUUCUCGCGUGUUUAAUUACGUUCUUGGAAUAGCUAGUUGCGCAUGUUGGUCGGAUUUCCUUUGCUUGUAGGCUUCUACUGCUUGUCUUGGAAUAACUUUGAAACGAAUCAACCGCUAUCAAAUACUAAUCUCACCAGAAUUCAUAUAACGUAGAAUCUCACCGGAAGACUAAUCCAAUACUGCAACCACAAAGAUAUUGGAAUUAAUAUUCCUAGUAUCAAUGAAGAAAUGGGACUAAGUUGCCUAUAUGCUUGCCUAAAUUCUUCCGAAAGUUAUCUGCUUUCUAUCAAUUGUAUGCACGCAUAUGCAUAUAAAGUGUUGUAUAGCCUUUGUAAAUUAGCUUGGAGUUGUUUAAAAACUUCAGUCUUAUGAAUUGCCAAUUUAAUUAGUACAUCCAAGCAAUCAUCUAAGUGAAAAUUAGGUCCUUAAACUAUUUUUUUUUUCAGAAAAAUGAAUUAUAAAAAUAUGCCAAUUGCAUCCCUAAUAUUAUAGUCAAAACUACUAUAUUCAAUUUUCCGUCAAUUUAAGUCACGGUACUUGCAUGUAAUACAUAUUGGAAGGUAGAUUAGUAGUUAACUUUGGAGGAUAAAUUAGUAGUUUUUCAUAAGAAAUAGUGUAAGUUAACUUUGGAGAUUAAAUUAGACGUUAGAUUCGCAAUCUAUAUUAAAUGUUAAGGGUUUAUAGGCGAGAAAAUGACGAUAUUACACUUUUAAGGUGUAUCAAGUGAUUUAAGUUGAUGAAAAAUUGGAUAAAAUAGCUUUGAAUAUAAUAGUAGGGAUCAAAUUAGCAAUUUUUAAUGAAUUUAGGGACUUAUUUUAUUAAAAAAAAUUCAGGGACCUAAUUUUCACUGAAAUAAUAGUAUUAAAUCAGCACUUCACCAUUAUUUUUAUAGAAGAAUGAACACAUGUUUCGGGUGCAAUGCAAAGUCACAACACUUUCAACGUUCCAGAACUAGGACGUUGUCCCAAUGGUUUUGCCCCAAAUGCAUGUAAUAGACGAUAUUUUCCGUUGCAAAUUUCAAUUUAUCUGUCGAUUGAUGAAUUGAUUAAUUGAAGCCAGGACUGAUUAUGAGUUGCAAUCUUCAACCGAGAUUCUUCACUUAUUUCCAUGGAGAAUCAGUGCCGGUGAAGACGUUAAGUUAUAUAUUGUCAGAUCUGUAACGGAAUGGAACGCUGAAGAUUUCACGUCAUCUGUGAAAUUCUGUUGUAUAACAUGAAGCAGUAAAAUUGAAUAUGGUUGACUAAUACUGUUGCUAAAAUGUUGUUAAUCGCAGAAACUCUAGCGUAAGUUGAUGGAAAGCAUCAACGAUCGUAUACUCUUGGGCUGUUCAUAUCAGCAUUUUUUUUCAACUUCAACUAAGUAGAUCUCUAAUUGUUCAGUUAGUUUAUCGUACGUACUAUUAUUAUAGCUAGAUUAGCAGUCAUGAACCUAGACCUCGGGUUUACAGAAAUCAUGGCCACCCACCGUUUGAUCUUAAUCCAACGGUAGUAAGGCCAAGUACUGAUGGCACAGUACAUUUUUUCUUCCAAAAUUUUGAGCCUGCUAGAGUGACUCGAAUAGGAGAAACCCUCCAAGUCUGAGAGUACCACAAAAUUAGCAUCAGGUUUUUCCAGCUUCCGUUUUAACGUCACUCUGCCAUAGAAAGUAGCUAGUGAAUGGAGUUGAAGCGCACAAGGAACGUGUACUAGCAGCAAAACAGAAGGCCAACCCUAAAUCCUAGAAGAGGCGGGACUUGCAUUGGAAGCAACUGCGGCAGCAAGCCUCAAGAGGCAACAAUUUUGGCAGCUGACUAAGCAGUUGAGAUGUUUUCUUAGAUUAAGCUGCAACCAUCCGUAAAUGCAGAUUUCGCUUCCAACAAUGCUCAGGUCAUAUCUUAGCUGCUGUUUUAUUUAUGAUUUCUCUUGCCUUUCUCUAAUUUUUAGUUAACCUAGCUUGUUUCAACAAGAUUUAGAACGGCCUUCUAUUUGUUUUAAUUUUUUUAAAUUUUCGUGAAGGCUAGUUACUAGAUGGCCACCUCUUUAACAUAUAUAUAGUCGUUUGUAUAUGUACAUAUAUGUACAUCUAUAUAUAUAUAUAUGUGUGUGUGUGUGUGUAUUGUUACGAUUCGCUAACUUUUCUUCUAGAGAUAAAUAACUCAGACUCGUCUAGAUUUUUUUGGGGCAUGUAAAUUUUGCUAAUUUAGGAAUAACAAGUAGGUGGUAGUUACAACUGCAUGCUCCAAUGCAACAAAGGAGUAUUUGGGGAGGCACAAAGACAAGAUGGUUAGAGAAUUUGGUUAUACUAUCGUUCCCUCCACACAUUCUUAUCUCCCUAGCUCUAGAAUAUUUAAGAGAGAGAGAGAGAGAGAGAGUUGAUGAGAAUAUAGCACAGCUUCAGUGCCAAGACGUUGCCAAGGAGAGCGUACGACAGUGGUUCUCCGUCAGGGAUUUGUUUCGUUCAGAGCCGGAGACAUUUCUACGUAAGCAUGCAGGUUAGAGUUUGAUGGAGAGUUGAAUUAAUUCACAGAAGGUGAGAAAUGGGAAGAGGUCAAACACAAAAGAAGGCGGGGGAGGUGGUGGCUGUAGCAAUAGACAAUGACAAGGGCAGCCAACAUGCUCUCAAAUGGACUAUUGAUAGUCUUGUCACCAGAGGUCAAGCUCUCACGCUGCUCCAAGUUAGACAAAUAACCGCAAUUCCCACGCAAAGUACAUUCUCUCUCUCUGUAUGUGUGUGUGUGUGUGUAAAUGCAUGAAUGCAUAAGAUGCUGAUGAUGAUCGUAAUUUACUAAUGUACGUCACCAGCCACAAAGGAGGUUGAAAAGGCUCAAGCCAAAGAGUUGUUUCAACCAUUCCGCUGCUUUUGCACGAAAAAACUUGUGAGUAAUGCUUCUUCCCUUCAUAAAAGUGAUAGUGCAUUGCCUAUCCCGCUCCAUGAACAGUUGAGCGGAAUCCCUCGUUUCGCAACGUGAUUUGUAGUUGUACUGCUUAUUUGAUUUUUGCAACAGCUAAAAUGCAAUGAAGUCAUGAUCGAGGAUAAAAACAUAGCAAAAGCACUGGUAAACUAUGUUGUCAAUAAUUCAAUCGACAUUUUGGUACUUGGUGCGCCGUCGAGAAGCGGCCUUCUCAGGUACUGAUUUCUUCUCCAAGUUAUAUCUCAGUUCAUAUGCACCAACACUGUAAAAUUCAUCAGAAAAAUAGUAUCAAAGAGAACAAGCAUCAAUCGUAAAAUGUAUAAAUCAUUCAUUUAUUUGAAUGGAACUAUAACUGUAGGUAGUUAAGUAUUACAUCUUUAAAAUCCAAUGAACUAAGAAAACUUUCAUACAUCUGUCUCAACUAAUACCAGCUUACAUACGCCGAAAAUUUGAUGGUUUGAGAAAUCAUUUAUUCAAGAUCUGGUUCCGCACGUUGUAGUCUUACCUCAGUUUUUUCUUCUCGGAAGCCAUCAAUUACGCAUGCAUCAUAAUUAUAUCAAUCUCGUCACAGAUUCAAAACAACGGACGUUCCAAACAGUCUCAAAAGAGGCACCGAGUUUCUGCACUGUGUAUGUCGUUGGCGAGGGAAAGAUAUCAUAUAUGCGAGCUGUUACCACUUCACUGUCCCAGAAAGCUUACUUGCCUAAUCAAAAACGGCACCAAACAAACAAAGCUUCUGACACAAAUGAUACGCAAUUCAGCCACAACCAGCAAUGCAGAGGUUGGCCAGAUUCGGUUUUUUCUUUCUUUUUUUUUUAGGUCGAAAGUUCAGAUUAUGUUCUAGCAUCUGUUAUUUCCCACCUCACGUCUGGUUUCUUGUCAUUACUCAAACAAGUUUCUGUGACCAAUACAGCAUGGGAGAGGACGCAGUAUCCACCACAAAGCCAGCAAUAAGGAGCAUGCCUCCAACUACAAACUUGACAGCAGAAACUAAUAUACCACAAAUGAUUAUCCGAGCCAGUUCUGGUGUCCCAAUAUCAUUCCUUCAAUAAUUGAUACCUAAUUAGUACAAGACUCCCCAGCAGGAUAUUAUGCUCACAUAUAUAAAUGUAGAGUUGAUGUUUAAAUAGUCUUAAGGCUCCACAACAACAGGAUGUUUUUGCCAGAAAUUAUACCGAGGAAAUUAUUUAUAUGUACGUAGCAUCAACUUCCCAACAAUUUAGGCUUCUUGUGAAAGUAGAAAAGCUAACAGUUUCAUCUGUUAAUUUAAGAAGGUACUUUUCAAGCCAAUGAAACUAUAAAGAAAACCCAAGCCCGGAUAAAGGAGGAGGGGGAGGGCGUCAGGUAGUCGACAGCCGGCACUCCAUGAUCACGUCGAAACCUUAUGAAAAUGAAUCCAGAACAAAAUCGCGCUAAAGCUAGGGCGUCACCCGUAAGUGGCGCGCUGUGUGGCCCGAGCACAGUGAUAAGUGAGCAAGGGUCGCUGUAUCUCCAUCGGCACCCGGAUGCAGUGUUAAAUGAGCAAGGGGGCCAUAGAAACUUCUUUUCGAACGACUCCACUCAAAGUUGUUUGGGAGCAUAUGCUCCUAUCAACUUUACCCGGGACACACAAAAGAAGUACUUUGAUCCUAUUAGACGGGGGAGGGUGAAGAAGCUAGGACAGAAGGGUAGAGUUCAAGAGAGCAAAAUGCGUUUAGGAACGUGGAAUAUAGGAACCUUAACGGGAAAAUCUAUGGAAGUAGUGGAAGUUAUGGUGAGGAGAAGGAUCAAUAUUAUGUGCCUACAAGAAACUAAGUGGGUUGGUAGUAAGGCAAAGGAUCUAGAAAACUCAGGGUUUAAACUUUGGUAUUUGGGCACAAAUAGAACGAGAAACGGUGUUGGCAUCAUCGUGGACAAGACCUUGGUACAGGAUGUUGUAGAUGUCAAGAGGGUAGGAGAUAGAAUCAUGGCAAUCAAGAUUGUAAUAGGACAAGAACUUAUCAAUGUGAUUAGUGCGUACGCACCUCAAGUAGGGUUGGAUACGAGUUCGAAGGAGAAAUUUUGGGAAGAUCUUGGAGACUUGGUGCAAGGAAUUGCUCAGACGGAGAAGUUAUUUAUAGGAGGAGAUUUAAAUGGACACGUGGGGCAGGGAGACAGGCAACUAUGGAGGUUUUCAUGGUGGCCAUGGUUUUGGGGAGAGAAACGAGGAUGGGGAAGCUAUCUUGGAUUUUGCAAUGGCAUAUGAUCUCUUCUUAGCCAAUACCUUCUUUAAGAAGAGAGAAGAACAUGUGAUCACCUACAAGAGUAGGUCGUCAAAAACACAAAUAGAUUUUCUUCUAAUGAGGAAAGGGGAUCGUAUAAACUUGUAAGGAUUGCAAAGUUAUACCAGGAGAGAGCGUGGCUAAUCAACAUCGCUUGUUGGUGAUGGAUGUACAUAUCAAAAGAGUGAGACAAAAGAACAAGACUUGGAAGUGCCCAAGGAUUAGAUGGUGGAAUCUAAAAGAAGAAAAACAAGCCAUUUUCAAAGAGAAAGUAAUCACCCAGUGUGUGUGGGAUAGAGAGGGGGAAGCUAGCCAAAUGUGGGAUUCCAUGGCUAGUUGUAUCCGAAAAGUAGCAAAAGAGGUAUUAGGAGAGUCCAAGGGCUUUGCCCCACACCAAAAAGGAAUCUUGGUGGUGGAAUGAGGAGGUACAAACAAAGGUGAAGGCUAAGAAGGAAUGUUGUAAAGCCUUAUACAAGGAUAGGACUGAUGAAAAUGGUGAAAGGUAUAGAAAAGCGAAGCAAGAGGCGAAGAAAGCUGUGAGAAAAGCUAAGUUAGCGGCUUACGACGAUAUGUAUAAACGACUAGAUACCAAAGAAGGAGAGUUGGAUAUCUAUAAACUAGCUAGAGCAAGGGAAAAGAAGACAAGGGACCUAAACCAAGUGAGGUGCAUCAAGGAUGAGGAUGGAAAGGUUCUUGCUACAGAGAACGCGGUUAAAGACAGAUGGAGAGGUUAUUUUCAUAAUCUUUUCAAUGAAGGACAUGAAAGGAGUGCUUCUUUAGGGGAGUUGAGUAACUCAGAAGAGUGUAGAAACUACUCUUUUUAUCGUCGAAUCCGGAAGGAAGAAGUGGUUGUAGCUUUGAAGAAGAUGAAGCAUAGAAAAGCAAUAGGCCCAGACGAUAUACCAAUCGAAGUGUGGAAAGUUUUGGGAGAGACAGGGAUAACAUGGCUCACUGACCUUUUCAAUAGGAUUUUGAAAACGAAGAAGAUGCCAAAUGAGUGGCGAACGAGCACUUUGGUGCCUAUCUACAAGAAUAAGGGCGACGUACAAAAUUGCAUGAACUAUAGGGGUAUUAAGCUAAUGAGUCAUACAAUGAAGCUCUGGGAGAGAGUCAUUGAGCAUAGAUUGAGGCAAGAGACACGGGUUUCGGACAACCAAUUCGGGUUCAUGCCAGGGCGCUCAACCAUGGAGGCAAUCUAUCUCUUACGAAGAUUGAUGGAAAGAUAUAGAGAUGGGAAAAAGGAUUUACACAUGGUCUUUAUAGAUUUGGAGAAAGCGUACGAUAGGGUCCCAAGAGACAUUCUUUGGAGGAUUUUAGAGAAGAAAGGAGUACGAGUAGCAUAUAUCCAAGCUAUAAAGGAUAUGUAUGAAGGAGCAAAGACUGCCGUAAGAACUCAUGAAGGACAAACUGAAAGCUUUCCCAUAACUGUAGGAUUACAUCAAGGCUCAUCCUUAAGUCCCUACCUUUUUGCGUUGGUAAUGGAUGAGUUAACAAGACAUAUUCAAUAUGAUAUUCCUUGGUGUAUGCUUUUCGCAGACGAUAUAGUGUUGAUAGAUGAAACUCAGGAAGGGGUAAAUGCAAAGCUUAACCUUUGGAGAGAAGUGUUGGAAUCAUCAAAGACAGAAUAUAUGGAGUGCAAGUUCAGUGCAAAUGGAGGCCAAAACGAGUUAGGGGUGAGGAUCGGUGAUCAAGAAAUACCAAAGAGCGAUCGUUUUCGUUGCCUAGGAUCUAUCUUGCAAAAGAACGGAGAAUUAGAUGGAGAUCUCAACCAUAGAAUACAAGCUGGAUGGAUGAAGUGGAAGAGUGCAUCCGGCGUGUUGUGUGACCGUCGCAUGCCACUGAAGCUCAAGGGAAAAUUUUAUAGGACGGCAAUAAGGCCGGCGAUGCUGUAUGGCACAGAAUGUUGGGCGGUGAAGCAUCAACACGUACACAAAAUGGGUGUAGCGGAGAUGAGGAUGCUUCGUUGGAUGUGUGGGCACACGAGAAAGGAUAAGAUUAGGAAUGAGGAUAUCCGGGGUAAAGUAGGAGUAGCCGAAAUUGAAGGAAAGAUGAGAGAAAAUCGGUUACGAUGGUUUGGACAUGUGCAAAGAAGGCCUACUGAUGCUCCGAUUAGAAGAUGCGACUAUGGGACAGAGGUUCAGGGCCGAAGGGGUAGAGGAAGACCUAGGAAAACUUUGGAAGAGACUCUAAGAAAAGACUUAGAGUACUUGGAUCUAACGAAAGACAUGACACAGGACCGAGCACAAUGGUGCUCUAAGAUUCAUAUAGCCGAUCCCAUUCAGUGACUUGGAUUUCCCAAGUCCCCAAUCGAGAAGUUUUCCUCCACUCACAAAGUUUCAACAAUAGAAAAUUCAAAGAACUUAGCGAAGAAGGCUUUAGUGUAUUUAACACAAUACGUCGAAAUGAAGGAAAGCUUAUUUAUUGAUAUCUCCGAUAAGCUACAAAUACGUACAUAUACAUAAGUCAAAAUAAACAAACAAGAGGGAGCCUUCACAAAGGUUGCUUAGGAGAAGUCUCAGCAGUCGGUAGAGCCCCAGAAAGAGAAGGCACCGGAGGGGGAUCAUUCGGAGCCUCAGUACUGGACAGAACCCUAGAAGGAGGAGGCAUCAGAGGUUGAUCAUUUGGAGCUUCAUUACGCGGUACAGCCCCAGAAGACGAAGGCAAUAAAUGCCUUUGGAACAAACCCACAAAUCUCUGAUGAUCAAGUAAAACCUGACCAUCAGAUUCCUUCAUCUGGUCAAGCUUCCUCUUCAUGUUUGUAGCAUAGUCAUGUGCGAGCCGGUGCAACUGUUUAUUCUCAUGCUUGAGCCCUCUAAUCUCCUGUUUGAGACUCAUCACUUCAGCCGCCAAUGAUUCAACUUGGCGGGUUCGAGCAAAUAGGCGCUGGGCCAUAUUAGACACAGAACCUGCACACUGAACACUAAGAGCCAGAGAAUCCUUAACAGCUAACUCAUCAGACCGUUUGGAAAGUAGUCUGUUAUCUUUGGGAGUGAGAAGGUUCCUGGCCACCACUGCAGCGGUCAUAUCAUUUUUCAUCACGGAAUCCCCAACGGUAAGAGGACCAGUAGGGGAGACGAAGGAUGGGUGCCAUAUGUUGUCUGGAGAAGGUGGGGCUGCCUCUUCAACAGGGUUCAAGUCAAAACGACGGUCGGAGGGGAUUCAAGUGUGCUUUGGAACUUAAUGCCAGCCCCUAUAAAAACCUGCACUCUACGGAGCUUCAGAAAUCGAAGAUGCGCCUGCUCAGAAAUCGAAGAGGCGUUUGCUUUCUCAAAAGCUAGGCUGCUCAGAGACCACGAGGGUCGAUCUCAGAAAUCGAAGAGGCGUUUGCUUUCUCAAAAGUUGGGCUGCUUAAAGACUACGAAGGCCGAUCUCAGAAAUCGAAAGGCGCUUGCUUUCUCAAAAGAUGGGAUGCUGACCACGAGGGCCAAUCUUAGCAAUCGAAGGGGCACCUACUUUUCCAGCCUUGUCAACAUCUGUCACACGCACACUCAGCUAUGCGGAAAUUGUGGGCAUUCUGUCGAAGACUUCUGGUGAAGUAGACAGCAACAGUAGCUCAUGGGUACCAUAGAUAACUUUGCCAAAGUUCUCUGCCAAAGUUGAGCACGUGAAGCUUGCAGCUCCCACUACAUCGCUCUGAUCAAGAAGGGUAAAAGAAUAGCAAAGAAACAGCACUAACAAAGUUUAGACACAUAAAUUUUAAAGGUCUAGCUACCAUAUUAUUACCCAUAAGGGUAAAGGAACAGUACCACAGCUGGAUAAUUAGAAAGUCCCUGUGUGUCAACCUCUGUGCUUCGUGGCACGGUAGACUAGCAAACAUGCCUAACCUUUACUCACAUUCGAGAAAACACUCCCAACAAGAUUGCUUGCUCCAAAAUCAAAGAUGCACCGUCCUCCGAAUCUCGAGAGCCAGACUCCCAACAUGACUACUUUCUCAAAAAUCGAAGAGAGGGUAAAGGAACAGUACCAUUGCUGGAUAAUUGGAAAGUCCCUGUGUGUUAACCUCUGUGCUUCGUGGCAAGGUAGACUAGCAAACAUACCCAACCUUUACUCACAUUCGAGAAAACACUCCCAACAAGAUUGCUUGCUCCAAAAUCGAAGAGGCACUGCCUUCCGCAUCUCGAGAGCCAGACUCCCAACAUGAUUACUUUCUCAAACAUCGAAGAGACACCGCUCUCCGAAUCUCGAGAGCCAGAUCCCCAUCAGGAUUGCUUUCUCAAAAAUCGAAGAGGCAUCGUCUCCAAAUCUCGAGAGCCAGAUCCCCGAUAGGAUUGCUUGUUCGAAAACCGAAGAGGCAGCACUUCCCCAACUUCAAGAGCCGGAUCUCCUUGGAUAAAGCUGUCUGUAAUCGUCACACGCAACAUCAGCUUUCCAGAUACCACAGACCACUUUUUCAAAGUGCUCUGACAGAGUUAAAACAUGUGAAGCUGGCAGCUCCCACUACCGUGCUAUGACCAAGCAAGGUAAAGGAAUAGCAUUACUACUUGCUGUUAAGGAGACUCCUAUAUAUGUCGACCUCCAUUCCCAACGGACAGACAGAUCUGCAAAAAUGCUCAACCCUUCUUCAUAUCUGAAAGGGCACUCCCAACGAAGCCUUUCGAAAUAUUCAGCUUUCUUUCUCCCCGAUAUCAUGCUUUUUCCCUGUCUUUUCCUUUGGCCUUGUUCUUACCUGCAAGACAAGGAGAAAGAGAGCAAUCAGUCAGCACUUGGAAUCAAGCUUCCAGCCAGGAACUGACUGCCUGGAACUUACUUGGCAUUGCUCUCGAGUACUCAUCUUCAACAUCUUAUGCUUCCAGGGAAGAUACGCAUCUGCCUGAGGAACAAAUAAGGCAAGUGAGAAGGAUACAAAAAAGCAGGUAGAGACAAGCGUAACAGCACACGUGCCGAUACAUCCAUUACUCUGUCAAAGCAAAAGUAUCCCAUAUCAGCAGGGUCGAACGUACUCUAGAUUUGAUGGACUUGUUUUGACCCUCAAAUUCUUCAGUCGGCCUUAUACUUUGGAGGAAACCAGAAAACCCUCCAGCCCAGUUCAAGAAUAAGCCUGUGGAAAGUUACUUCUUCAAAAGCAAAAGUAUCCCAUAUCAUAUCUUCUCAUUUUUCUUCUCUUUAUCCUUCAUGCUGCCUGCAAGAUAGGGAGAAUGUGAACAAUCAGCCGGAGCUCUGAUUGCUUACCUUGUCUGUCACCUCUUUCAGCAGAUCCCCUAGCUCGGCGACUUGGGGGGCUCCUACUACAUGGUUUGUAUCACGCUUGACCAAGUUUAAAACUAAAAGUAAGCUUCAAGUGAAAUUGAUACAUUACCUUGUGCAUCUCCACCAGUUAAAGAUACCACCCCUGGAUGGAGGAAGAGUACUUCCAGAGAAGAUGCCACAUCUACCUAUGAGACAGAUAAGGCAAGUCAAGACGAUACCACACUCCGAUACUUAGAAGUUUCGUGAUUACGAGAUCAUUCUCCCACAAUAUUUCCUAAUGUCAUUUGUACUAAAUCAUUCACCUGUACUCACUAAAGGAGAGCUUGAAUCUAUGUACUUGUGUAAACCCUUCACAAUUAAUGAGAACUCCUCUAUUUCGUGGAUGUAGCCAAUCUGGGUGAACCACGUACAUCUUGUGUUUGCUUUCCUAUCUCUAUCUAUUUAUAUACUUAUCCACACUAAUGACCAGAGCAAUCUAGUGAAGAUCACGAAAAGCGACCGUUUUCGCUACCUAGGAUCUAUCGUGCAAGAGAACAGAGAAUUAGAUGGAGAUCUCAACCAUAGAAUACAAGCUGGAUGGAUGAAGUGUAAGAGUGCAUCCGGCGUGUUGUGUGACCGUCGUAGGCCACUGAAGCUCAAGGGAAAAUUUUAUAGGACGGCAAUAAGGCUAUGUGACUACGAGACAGAGGUUUAGGGCCGAAGGGGUAGAGGAAGACCUAGGAAAACUUUGGAAGAGACUCUAAGAAAAGACUUAGAGUACUUGGAUCUAACGGAGGACAGGACACAAAACCGAGCGCAAUGGCGUUCUAGGAUUCAUAUAGCCGACCCCACUUAGUGGGAAAAGGCUUUGUUGUUGUUGUUGUUGUAAGGUUUCAUAGCAGGUUUACGAAGCAUAGAAGGGAAACUGCAGUAAACAGAAAACAAAACAGACUUGAGAGGAAUUAGUUUUGACUGCAGAUCAGUUUCAGCGUGAGGGAAUGAGAAGGAAUAGUAGUUGGAUUGCUCUUACCUUUGUUUCACACUCCUCAGAGUUUUCUUUCAGUCUGAAUGAAUGUAGCAUUUUCAUUUUAGCUUUUGAUAAGUUCAUAACAAUGGUAAGUCAUCCAUCAGCAAUAUCCAACUUCAUCUCAGCCUGAACACGGAGAUCCUACACAAGAUCCAUGAGACUAGGAAUGCAUUUUGCUUACCUAAAAUGAACAUAAUAAGAAAGUUCAGAUACGUACCCAUUCCAGAAUGCAGGACAAUGCAUAUAUGAGCUGCAUUUAUCACUUUGUUACAUACAUGCACUAAUUGAACCAAUAGAAUGCAAACUGGAACUGAUAGACAUAGCAUUAUCAGCGACAAUAAUCCUUUCCUAACAAUCAGUCAAACAUGCACAAUAUGCAGGUCGCUAGUCAGUAAUUCCAAAAGAUCUGAUUCCCCCGGUAUGUUUUUUUCAAAUAUACUGAAAUUAACUUCCUAUAAGUCCAUUCCCUUUGCCUCUGGAACUCCAAAAAUGCCUCUGAGCUUGCAUGAAAGUCUCCUUUUCCCAAAACUUCAAACACAAAUGGAUCCGUUAAUACCAAUGGGGAAUCAUCCAGAUUCAUUUUAUUGAGGGAAAAAUACAAAUUCCGUCCUAGUCUUCUAUCCAAGUAUGCAACAACAACACAGCCGCAAUGUUGAAUGGUAAUCUUGCUUCUAGAAAAGUGGCCGGUGCAUGCAUUGAAAAUGCUAGACAAUUGUAGCAUGAGAAUGGCAUGUGUUCAUUGUGUCCAUAAGCAAAGUCCAUGGUGGUGGGCUACUUUAGUAGAGUCAUGAAUAAUGGCUAGGAUGAUUUCACACUUGGUAUUCACACUUGGUAUGGUUGGUUAUACUUGCCUAUAAAUAGAGUAUGUUGUUAUGUUUAAGUAUUGAAGUAAGAAAAGAGAAAGAAGAAGAAGUAAGAGAGACAAGAAGGCUCUCUCCCUAAAAAAAGGGAAUUAGUAGAAGAAGCAUCCAUAGCUUCUAAGAGUGUUUGAGUGAUUCCUCUUGUAUUAGUUUGUGAGAAUAAAAGUUUUUUUGGUGUUAUACCUUGAGUGUUCUUUUUCUCUUGCCUAUCAAUUUCCGCUGCGUUACAUUCUUCUUUGGAGAUAAACAUCUCCAAAGUAGUGAAGUCUCUUUAAACCCCAACACGCAAGUCACAAGAUCAGGAACAACUUUCUCAUGUGUCAUGUGUUCAAGGCUAAGAUGGAGAGCCCACAGUAGAGACAUCUUUGAAAAGGCCAGAGCACGGAUAUUAAAUGUAGUAAGAUCGGGGCGGAAACCAGCUUCCACCAUUCUCAAAAAUUCUCUUUGUAAGCUUUUCAUCUUAAAAUUCGCAGCAUAUGAUAACAACAAAAGGUUCCACAGAAGAUUUCCCAAGUUUCUUCUACCUAGACCUUGUUGGUAUUGAAAAGUUUACUAACUCAAUACCAAAAUAUGUGGGUGAUAAGUUUACAAACUCUAUCACACCUCUCACUUUGCACUCUCAAUAAAAUUGGACAAAGAAAUAGAGAAAUGAGGGAAGCUACAAGCUUUGGCAAACAAUGCACUUUGAUGUAUUUAAAAGAGUUUACAAACACACUUCUGAAAAUGGAAUAACAAAUCAGAUUCAUGUUUCUAAAACCUUACGGGCUGCUUAUUUAUACAAGCAGAAAAUGAAGACCACUCAAGUGCUUUUAAUAAACUAAACCAACAACACACACAAACAGCUCAUAUGAACUUUGGACAGUCUAACACACAUAUGCAGCUAUCUUUCCAGCUUGCAAUCAACAUAGUUUCGGCUAGCACACCACAUGGCAGCACACAGCUGCUGUCUUUCAACACACUUUCAGCUGGCACAUGGAGAAAACUUUAGUCUUUGCAGUUGCAGCAAGUGUGAAUACAACCUGUAAAGAAACUAACAGCUAGGAGCUGCCAUUUACAACCUGUUUUGAUUUGAAUUUCCAACACACCUCCUCAAAUCAAAACGCCUUCAUUCCUAGCAUUUCACGUAGCAGCCGGAAUGAUUCAACUGGUAGUGGCUUAAAGAAGAUGUCUGCCACUUGUUCCUUCGUGUGACAAUAGACAAGUUCGAUUGUCUUUUGCUUUACAUGGUCCCUUAGAAAAUGGAACCUGGUAUCAAUGUGCUUGCUCCUUCCAUGUUGAACAGGAUUCUUUGCAAGCUUGAUUGCAGACAUGUUAUCCACAUGAAUCACAGUCGAUUCCACUUGUGGAUGACACACUGACUUCAAUAGAUUUCUUAACCAAAUUGCCUCACACACUGUUGAGGCUACAGCAACAUACUCGGCUUCACAUGAUGACGAAGCAAUAAUUGAUUGCUUCUUUGAAGUCCAUGAGAAAGUUGUUGAUCCUAGAAAAAACACAUAGCCAGUUGUGCUUUUCCUUUCAUCUUGGUCACCUCCCCAGUCACUAUCUGAAUAACCAAAUAAUUUUGCAUCUUCACCAAAAUUAUAAAACAGACCAUAGUUUAGAGUACCUCUUAUGUACCUCAAGAUUCUCUUGACAGCCAGCCAAUGAGACUCCCUUGGUGUUUCCAUGUACCGACUCACGAGUCCAACUCCAAUGGACCACAUAUAUCCUUGUGUACCAUCUACAGUGGUGCCUUUGCUCUCCAUGUAUCACCAACAGGGAAUGAUAGUCGUGCUUGCUUGCCAAGCACACAACCUUCACAUACUUGGCGUGUGGCUUCAAUCUGGGGUAGACCACGAACCAUUCCUCCAUUUGACAGCAACUUUAGGCCAUUGAAAUGAAGAUGGCCAUAUCGAAGAUGCCAUUUCCAUGACUCAUCUUCCAUUACACCAAUGUUGCAACUCCCAAUCUUUGUGUUCAACUUCAACGGGAACAUUCGGUUUUUUGACAUUUGAACACGUGCAAUAAGCUUUCUCCUUGCAUUCCUGAGAAUGAGAAACAUAUCCUCCAUAUGUAUAACAUACCCUUUCUGGAGCAGUUGACCAAUGCUCAGAAUGUUGCUCUUCAUACCUGGUAUGUAGUAGGUAUCGGAGAUGUAUUCUUCUUUACCAUCCUUCUGGAUGAUUUUGAUCUUUCCUUUGCCUUCAACUGGCAACUUUGAGGAGUCACCAAAACUCACAGAUCCAUAAGGCCCAUCUUUGAGUUCGGCAAAAAACUCUUUCUUUCCACACAUGUGGUUGCUUGCACCAGAGUCUAAAUACCAAACAUCUUGUUGGCUACUGAUAUCAUGGUGUGCUAGUAAGACUGUAAGUUCCUCACCAGCAUUUCCAUUUGAUUCUGCCAUGUUGACAUGCUCACCAUUUUUAUAUGAACAUUCAUUUGCAUAAUGUCCAUAUUGCUUGCAAGUGUGACAUUGGAUAUGCGCCUUUCCUCGGGUAGAUCUCCACUCUUAAGAUUGACCUCGAUUUUGUUCAUAGCCUCGACCUCUUCCUCGGGCUCAUCCUCGGUUACGGUUGGAUGAACUCCCACGACGUGAGUGCCCACAACCUUUAUUUGGUUUGUCAAUAUUCAACUUUGACUCCAAAGCUUGCUCUAGCGUUGUGGGGCUUGCAUUCUUCUGAAUGCGUUGCUCGUGAACUAGGAGGGAUCCUAGUAGCUCCUCUGCGCUCAUCGCCUCCAAAUCCUUGGAUUCCUCCAUGGCAGUCACCACAUGCUCAAACUUAGAUGUGAGUGACCGGAGUAUCUUCUCCACAACUCGUACUUCAUCGAGUCUCUCCCCAUUUCUCCUCAUCUGAUUUACUAUCACAAUGAGCCUUGAGUGAUAGUCGGAGAUGCUCUCCCCUUCAUUCAUGUGAGCAGUUUCAAAAUCUGCUCGAAGUGACUGUAAUCUCACUUUCUUGACUCGAUCUACUCCUUUGUAGAUUGUACUGAGUGUGUCUCAUACUUGCUUGCUCGUUGUUGCUUCUGCAACCUUCUCGAACGUUGAAUCUUCUAAUCCUUGAUAGAGAAGAUACAACGCCUUCUGGUCCUUCUUUCGUAAAUCCCUGAGAGUGUUCCUUUGAUCUGCAGUAUAUGUGGCUUCUUGCUCGGUAGUAGGUACAACAUACCCACUACUGACAACUUCCCAUAGCUCUUGUGAUCCAAACAAUGCUUUGAAUUGGAUGCACCAUCUUUCAUAAUUUUCUUUCUUCAAUGUGGGAACUUGGAGUUGCACUAAGUUGGAUGCCAUAACUGCUGCACCUACCAGAAUGGUAUUCUGGCUCUGAUACCAAUUGUUGGUAUUGAAAACUUUACUAACUGAAUACCAAAAUAUGUGGGUGAUAAGUUUACAAACUCUAUCACACCUCUCACUUUACACUCUCAAUAAAAUUGGACAAAGAAAUAGAGAAAUGAGGGAAGCUACAAGCUUUGGCAAACAAUGCACUUUGAUGUAUUUAAAAGAGUUUACAAACACACUUCUGAAAAUGGAAUAACAAAUCAGAUACAUGUUUCUAAAACCUUACGGGCUGCUUAUUUAUACAAGCAGAAAAUGAAGACCACUCAAGUGCUUUUAAUAAACUAAACACAACAACACACACAAACAGCUCAUAUGAACUUUGGACAGUCUAGCACACAUAUGCAGCUAUCUUUCCAGCUUGCAAUCAACAUAGUUUCGGCUAGCACACCACAUGGUAGCACACAGCUGCUGUCUUUCAACACACUUUCAGCUGCCACAUGGAGAAAACUUUAGCCUUUGUAGUUGCAGCAAGUGUGAAUACAACCUGUAAAGAAACUAACAGCUAGCAGCUGCCAUUUACAACCUGUUUUGAUUUGAAUUUCCAACAGACCUACAACCUUCAAAAACUCAGCUAAUUCGUAAAACUUGUUACGUUUCAGAUACGCAAAUGACAUUGCCCGGAUUCCCUCUUCCUCUAUCAGAAACCUAGACCUUUUUAAGGCGGCCAUAAGCAGUCUCCAUCUCAGUAAGGGAACCAAAAAUACUAUAGUAUCUGAUAAAGGCAUUUCCAGUGGCAUAGUCCACCGGGAAACCCAUUGAAAUCAUUUCUUUCAAUGCACCUUCCAUCAAUUCAAGCUGGCCUCCCUUCCCAAAACAAGAGAUAGCUAGCGAGUAAACCUCCGAAAACAAACUCAAAUACCUAGCCCUCAUCUGGCCCAAAAUUUUAUUCACUUUUUCAAAACAUCUCGCAUUUCCAUAAACAUCAAAUAACUGCGAAACAACCUGAAUACUAGGCACAAAAGAAAUAUAUAACAUUUCGUUCCACACUGCUUCCGCUUGAGGAAAAAGGCCAUUGUUGGCAUGGAAUAGCAUCAAAGCAGAUAGGGUGGAGUUGCUGGGCAAAAGACCAUCCGAUUUCAUUUCGAGUAAAAGCUCCUGAGCUACAUGAGGCAACUUUUGUCUACUUAAACUCCGAAUUAUCCGCACGCAAUCUACAUAAGUAGCUUGGCCAUUAAAACACUCAUCCCGCUUCCAUUUUCAGAUUAUCGGUUGUAAGCACAGCCCAAAUAAAAGGAUAUCUCUUUGCACAAAAGUGACAGUAUUUUCUUCGGAUAAUCAAACACUAGAUCAAGAAAUUCAUAAAAUUCACAAACCUGCUAAAACAAAUUACGGGCACUUGUUGAAUCAAAAUUUGAUUAAAAAAUACAAGUCCCAAUUCUACAAAUACGGUAAAAUGUUCAUGAGAGAGAGAGAGAGAGAGAGAGAGAAAACGACCUUGCGUGCUAAGGCUCGAUUUUGUGAAUGGGAUUGAUGGCAGAAAAUAGAUUGGCGUUUUGGUGCCAAUGUGCAACCUUUGAUGAUUUCAGUUAAAACUAGCAAAGAAGUCCGCGCUCUGCUGCGGGUUUGAAACUGUAACCAAAAUUUAACACUCAUUUUUAAAUUAUUUAUAAAUAAAUAAAAGCAACUGAAUCCACAUGAUAUUCAAAUUUUGAGAUGUAUCAGAUAUCAAUUGUUGUCUGUGUCUUUGUGCUUCUCAAUGUAUCAGAUAUCAAUUGUUGUCUGUGUCUUUGUGCUUCUCAUUGUAAGUUCUUUUUGCUAAUUACUCUGAAUUUUUGUAGUUUGAAAUUUGCAAUGAUCAACAAACAUGGGAAAUGCCUAUGUGAUUUUCCAUGAACUAAUGAAUGGUUUGCAAUUAAUUUUACUGAUGCAUAUUCAUAAUUUGGAAUUAGGAAUAACAGUUAAACAGGGCCUUGAAUUACAUCAUCAACCAAUACUUUCUCCUUUUGCUUUCUGUGAAUUUUUUGGUUGCUUGCUGCAAAUGAAUGGAUUUGGAACUUUGAAUUAACAAAUUAAGCAAUUCAAGCAUAUUGCAUACACUUAAAAGGCUUAAGAGUAGAUAUAAGAUUAAUUAAUAUUAAAUCAAAAUAAAUAGAUGUAGCUAUGUAUAUUUUCAGCAAUUUCAGUCCUUCACUCCCAUCAUAGGACUUAAAUCACAUUUAAAAAUAAGAAGUACACAAAGAAAGUUGUACUUUUAGCUUCGUUUACAAAAAGCUCUGUAUACAACUAUGUAUUCCACAUGAAUUUGUGUAAAAGGACUUGCCUCGGGGAUGAAGUACUCUGUCUUCUUACACACACCUAUGCCAAAAUCUCUAUCAGGAAACUUUUCCAACCCUGUAGAAGCCAAUAUAUGAAGGAAAUCAUUCAAUGCAAUUGUAUUAACCUUAUUUUAAGGAUAUGAAAAUGAAUUUUUGUUCACUAAUAAUACAAUAUGUACAACCAUUACCCAAUUCAAAAUUCAUUUCAACUCCCAAAAUUACACAAAAUGUACUAAAAUUUCAAGCAAAGAGAACGAACCAAGAUUCACAAUUCAUUUCAAUUCCCAAACAUGCUCACAGAUUAAUGAACUCUCACUGAAACAACAAAGAACCAAUGAAAUUUUGUGUAACUUAAGAGGAAAAAUUCUUACCUUCAACUAAGUAGAUCCCUAAUUGUUCAGUUACUUUUUCGUACGUACUAUUAUUAUAGCUAGAUUAGCAGUCAUGUUCUCCUAGACCUCGGGUUUACAGAAAUCAUGGCCACCCACCGUUUGAUCUUAAUCCAACAGUAGUAAGGCCAAGUACUGAUGGCACAGUACAUUCUUUCUUCCAAAAUUUUUAGCCUGCUAGAGUGACUCGAAUAAGAGAAACCCUCCAAGUCUGAGAGUACCACAAAAUUAGCAUCAGGUUUUUCCAGCUUCCGUUUUAACGUCACUCUGCCACAGAAAGUAGCUAGUGAAUGGAGUUGAAGCGCACAAGCAACGUGUACUAGCAGCAAAACAGAAGGCCAACCCUAAACCCUACAAUAGGCGGGACUUGCAUUGGAAGCAACUGCGGCAGCAAGCCUCAAGAGGCAACAAUUUUGGCUGCUGACUAAGCAGUUGAGAUGUUUUCUUAGAUUAAGCUGCAACCAUCCGUAAAUGCAGGUUUCAAAUCCAACAAUGCUCAGUUCAUAUCUUAGUUGCUGUUUUAUUUAUGAUUUCUUUUGCUUUUCUCUAAUUUUUAGUUAACCUAGCUUGUUUCAACAAGAUUUAGAACGGUCUUCUAUUUGUUUUAAUUUGUUUAAAUUUUCGUGAAGGCUAGUUACUAGAUGGCCACCUCUUUAACAUAUAUAUAGUCGUUUGUAUAUGUAUAUAGGAAAAAUUAGUAUCCGGUCCCUAGUUUUUACUGUUCAUUGACUAAGACCUUAUUAGUUCUCAAAUUUUGAUUCAAGUCCCUAUCAUUAAUGUGAUAAUGAAUUUACAUGUUUAUUAUAUAAUUUUUUAAUAUAAAAAUUAGUAAUUAAUUUAGGAUUUAAUACUCACACCUCUAUUAAACUUCUAAUUAAUUUUCAAUUCAAAAAUUUCCAAAAUAAUAAAAAAUUAAAUUAAAUUAAGUUUGUACCUAUUACUUUAUAUAUAUAUAUAUAAGAUUCUCAAUUUUUUAAUCUUAAAUGUACCCAUUCAUAUAAUUUUUCAAUUUUUUUAAUCUUAAAUGUACCCAUUCUCAAAUAUAUCAAUUUGUUAUAUGUAAAAUGUACCCUUUUUUUAAUAUAAAAUCCAUUCAAAUUUUUUAAUCCAUGUUUAAACUUAUAUGGGUACAUUCUUUUUCGUUGAUUUUGAGAAUGCAUCCAUGUUUUGGUACAAUAACUUUUUUUGUUAAUUUUGGUUAAUGUACCCAUACAUAUAUGUAUACACACACACACACAAUAUAAUAGAGAGUAUAAUUUAUAUUUUAUUAUUUUUAAUCCCAUAAAAUAUGGGUUUUUAUUUAAAAUCUCAUUAAUAUAAACAAUUACAAACUUCAAUUUUUAAUUUUUAAUUUAAAAAAUAUAGUAACUUACAUUAUUACAUUAAUGUCAGGGACCUCAAUCAAAAACUAAAAACUAACAAUGUUUCAAUCAAAUAAUAUUGAUAGCUAAGGACCGUAUCCAAAGUGUCCCGUGUAUAUAUAUGUACAUCUAUAUAUGUGUGUGUGUGUGUGUGUGCACAUUGUUACGAUUCGCUAACUUUUCUUUUGGAGACAAACAACUCAGACUCGUCUAGAUUUUUUGGGGGCAAGUAAAUUUUGCUAAUUUAGGAAUAACAAGUAGAUGGAAGUUACAACUACAUGCUCCAAUGCAACAAAGGAGUAUUUGGGGAGGCAUAAAGACAAGAUGGUUAGGGAAUUUGGUUAUACUAUCGUUCCCUCCACACAUUCUUAUCUCCCUAGCUCUAGAAUAUUUAAGAGAGAGAGAGAGGGAGAGAGUUGAUGAGAAUAUAGCACAACUUCAGUGCCAAGGAGAGCGUAUGACGGUGGUUCUCCGUCGGGGAUUUGUUUCGUUCAGAGCCAGAGACAUUUCUACGUACGCAUGCAGGUUAGAGUUUGAUGAGAGUUGAAUUAAUUCACAGAAUGUGAGAAAUGGGUAGAGGUCAAACACAAAGGAAGGCGGGGGAGGUGGUGGCUGUAGCAAUAGACAAUGACAAGGGCAGCCAACAUGCUCUCAAAUGGACUAUUGAUAGUCUUGUCACCAGAGGUCAAGCUCUCACGCUGCUCCAUGUCAGGUCGGCCGAGUCCUACUGCAAAAAGGAUUGAUCUAGAUAAUAGCGAAUGGGCUAAUUCUUAGUAUGAUAAGGAGUCUUAUUGGAAUAAGGAUGUCGGGAUUUGAGUAGUGAAUGUGGCAGGGCAAAGAGCUUGGUUUAGGGUUCUAGUGGAGGUAGGAUUGGCUGAGACUUGGUUAGAUUAGGAUAAAGAAUCCUAAUCCGAGUAUAGUCUUGGUUCGGUCAUGAUGAGAUUGGCUACUAUAAAUAAGAAGGGGGUGCAUCAUUCGAGCUCCUCCAACUCAACACACAAUUGCCCUGCUCAAGCUCUCGCUAUAUGCGAAACCUCUCAACAACCUUGAGAUUCUUUUUAUUUUUCGUUGACACAUCUUCAGUUUAGAUAAACAGCAUUGUUGCCGUAUAAUCAACCGACCGGGAAGCACCUUCAAUUUGGAUAAACAGCAUUGCGACGAGGCCGACUGGUUAUCUAUCCAAGUCUCAGUCGAGAAGGAUUUUCGAGUCAUUAUUGGCAGAGAUCAUCUCAUUAGCCUUCUCGGCGAAGUGAGAUGCUAUAGGUUACUACAUUCGGCACGUUGAAAGCCGAAUUUGAUAUUGAACUUCGUAGAACUAGCAGUCUUAUCUUCAGGCUCUAGAACCCGAAGGUUGAGACGUGUUCCUUCCUCGACCGCAAUCGCAAGAUCAGGAAAUCAACAGUGCACUCAACGCAACAUCAACUCAUUUUACUCACCGGCCGAGCUCGGCCGUCGAGUUAGUAUGCCUCGCACACAACUGAAUGACGUAAUUAGCUUAUUAAUUACUCGGGCUGCGCGCCACGUAAGCUUGGUAGUUUUUAGGGUUAACAGUUAUUCAUAACAACACUGGCAAGUGGCACGACAAAACUUUAACUUGCUGUCAAGGUGGUUAUAUUAUAAAUCUUUUUGGUUUUUAAAAUUAAAUAUUACAUUAAAUAAUUUAAAUAUAUAUUUUGGUUUGUAACCGAUCCUUUCAUGUUCAGGUCGGUUUUUUUAUUUGGAAAACUAACCAAAAACCCCUGAAAAGUUUCCUUUUAAUCAUAAGGACAAAAGUUUUCAGAAAUACCAAGGCUACCCUUCACACAUCCGUACAAAAUUGGCCAAGCUUUUAGUCAAGUUCACAUGCUGGGGCUGACAUUUUCAGAAAAUAUUUGCAUACAAAAGCUAAGGUGGCAAACAUCACAGCAACCAAGACAACAUGAAUUCACAUGUCUUUCAGACAGCUUUCAGAAACAGUGCUGACAGCUUUCAGAAACAGUGUGUUGUCACUAUCCAAAAAGUUGUAAAUAUUGAAAAGUUAUUUUGUUUUGUUUAGGAAUCAACUUUUGUAUAUAAGGGAGCCUUUCCUCCCAUACAGAGGACACCUCUCUCAACACCUGAAAACAACAUAUUCACUUCAUACACUCAAGCAUUCAUAGCCUUCAUAGCAUCCUUGUAAACACUUCUUUGUAAUCACUUUCUUGUAAACAACGAUCUCUGUAAACAUUCCAUAUAUCAAUAAAAGAUCAAGUGUACAUAUUCAAGCAAUCUCUAAGUCUUAAGUAAGUUUUCUUUUCCUUCUUUAGUGUGUUUGUUUAAUUAGACUUCUAGUCCAAAACAGGGAAACACUAUUGUGGUUAUAUUAUUAACCUGCUAAACUGACGAUCAUACUUUAUUCAAGCACUCUGUUAUAGUUGAAUAUUUGCCAUACAAAUAACUGGACAUUAACCAGGGUACCUCUAAGUUCAGCCGUUAAGGCCUUAUACUUGUACUGUGAGUGGCCGUCAUGCUGAAACAUGUCGAGUUCCAUGUGCAAGGUUCUAUGUCUAGUUGUUAUAAUGGUCAUCCGACUAUUUAACCGAGCAUGCGUUUUGAAUUUGGUAUCAGAGCCUAGUUUAGCAUUUUAAUAGUAUAAUUAUAAUAGUAAAGUACCUUGAGGAUAGAAGUCAUUGAUACAACUGAUAUCAUAUUUGUUUAUUGUAUAUGAACAACAGAUAUUAUUGUCCCUGUAGACCCUGUCAACCACAAUUACUAGGUAUUUAUUGUCCCAGACAUCCAACCAUAACUAGCAUGAAGAGAAGAUUAGCAUACAUAUCCAAAAGAAUUAUUAGUACUUUGAAGAAGCAAAAGUUUUAUCUUGGGUAUCUUGAACAUCAUUCAUUUAUUCGUAAAUAUAAUAACACAGAAGUGCAGCAUAAAGUUUUGGAAGCAAAAAGAACAACAGAUCAAGUUUUAGAGACAUUGAGAGAAGAAAGAGAGUUUUUAAGAAACCAGUUAGCCGUAACCUUAGAGAAAGGUAGACUGUAGUUUAUGAUAGAUUAUCUUAAUUUAGAAAUUAGUGAACCUCAAAAAAGAAAAAUAACUUUAGACCAAAAUAGUUUAGUUUGUUAUUUUCCAUCAAGAAAGCAUAAUCAUAUUUUGCACAGUGAAGAAAAUUCACAAGCUAAUACCAUUGUAGAUCUUAUUAUUAGUCAGGCAGAUAAUAUAAAAUUAGAAAAUAAUAAGCAUAAUCAUUUGUUAAACCAGUUGUUAGAACAUUUUUAGAAAAAUUCCAUAAAAAUAAUUAGACAAAAUUUAAACUAUAUUACAUCUCAGUUAGAAGAUAAUAAUAGAAAUAUUCAAAGGUUUCCUAUCAAAAGAGAUAUAAAAGAGCUUGUUGAUCUUAUAGAUAGUAAGCCGAAGCAAGUAGAACUUAGAUCAUUAGAAAUAGUUGAACAGCUAAAAUUAGAAGUUCAAAAAAUUCAAUUAGUACAAAAAGAGUUAAGUGAACAAGUAGAUAAAUUGCAUAAUAAAAUAGAUAAAUUAUUAGUUUAAUGACAGAUUCUAGAACUAGCAGAAAAUAUAUUCAAGCUUUGAAAGAAAUUAGUAAAUUAGAUAAAGAACCAGUAGGAUUAACAGAUUUUUCAACACAAGUAUCUAGUAGUAAUAUUCCCAUUAGGCAAAAUAAUUUGAUUAUCCAAUUAGUUUUAAGUUUAGCUGAAAAAUUAGAUCAAGUUGAAGAACAAAUAGCAGAAAUAAACCAAGUUUUACAUAACGCAUCUUCAUCACUUCCACCAUCCUUGCUAGAUAAAUUAGAAAAUUUAACUUUGAGUGCAAGUAAUAAUAGAAGACCUAAGCUAAAUCCUUUUGAUAAUAGAAAAUGGCACUCUUUAGGAAAAAAGGAAAAAAAGUAGUUAGAGCGGAAGAUAUUUAUCCAAAUGAAGAAUAAGCACAAGAAUUUAUUCGAAGAGGUUAUGAGAGAACACAGAAAAAUAAAUAUAACUUGUAUCAAUUAGGUUUAUUUGAAAACAGAAAUAGAAUUGUAAGCAGCAUCAGUCAACAUGAAGUUAAUUGUAUUGAUAAAGAAGUCACACUUAAUCUAAUUAGUAAAGAAGCAGUUACUCAUUUGAGAAGUCACAUUUUAGUCAAAUUCACAUAGGAACAAUAUUAAUUGGAAUAGCAGGAUUAACCAGAGCACAAGUAGGUAUAAAAGCUUUAGUAUACAUAUAUGAUGAUAGAUGGGAUAAUCACCAACAAGCAUCAAUAGCAACAACUAAAGUAGACUUAAGUUCAAACUUAGCAGUUAUAUGUUGUAUUCCAAAUUAUGUUAUGACGAUUAAUGAAUUUAGUAAAUAUAUUAAAGUGAGCAUAAAAACAAAAAAUUAUAAUAUCAAAGGAGAGUAUAAAAAUUUGUGUAUUAGCUUAAUGUAUAUAGGUAAAGUGUCUGAUAAAUAUAAUCAUAAGUUUAAUUUAGAGUUUCAAAUUUUAGUUCAAACAUUUGGCAGUAAACAUGUAAAUAUGAUAGAAGCAAAACCCGUAGAUAAUAGCUUUUUAAAAGGAACUCAGUGGACAUUGCCUAAUUUACAAGUAGCACCAAAUAGACAACCAGAUAAAGUACAAAUAUAUGAAACUAGUACAGGUCAAGCAACAAUUAGGUUUAGUAAUUAUAAGCAACUAGAAAAAAUAGAAGAGGAUGAGAGUGAAAUUGAAAAUGAGAGUAUACAUAUGACUUUUGAUAAUUUAGAUAUUAAUUUAGUUGAACAAAAUUUUGAUCAUAUUGUAGAUAAACUUAUCGAAGAUAUUAAUCAUUUAGAUGAAGAACAAUAUUUGAAAAAAUAUAAGACAUAUGAUUUAGGACUACAUAAAAUUUCAGACGAAGAAAUGAAAAUUUUAAUCUUAGAAAUAGGAGUAGAACACAUUUUAGGAUCAAAAGAAUAUAAUAAUUUAUUAGAAUUGAAAGCAGAAUGUAAUCUAGCAGAAGAAAGUAGUACAUCAGGAGUAGAAAAUCCAGGACACGCAAGCAAAACCGAUCAACAAUUUUUGAGACCAACAAAUGAACAAUAUAAUAAAAAAGCAAAAGUAGACUAUAUGGAAGAAAGUAUGAUAAAACCUAGAAAAAAUAGGAUUCCAUAUUUGAGAGGGUUAGAACAAAUUAAUAUAGCUGGUAAUAUAUUAAAUUUAGAUAAUGUAGAUCCACAAGAUUGGGAAAGAACGAUUGAGAGAUGGGAAAAAGGCUGCUUACAUGCAGCAUUAAUGUUAGAUUUUAGUAAUUCACAAAAUAUGUUAGAUUACUUUGAGCAUACUUUGGAUGGUUUAGUUUUUUAUUAUUUCCAAUCAUGGAAAGUUCAAAAUCCAGAACAGCAUCAGGCAGCUAAAACGCAUUUUAAUAUUGAUGGUUUUGUUACUUUGAUUAAACAAGAGUUUUUAGAUCAUAAUAGGUUAGAUGACAGAAGUGAACAAGAACAAAUAAGAGCAAUCAGAAAUUUAGAACAAUUACAAAUUUGCGAUUUACAGUAUAUAGCUGAGUAUACCACAUAUUUCUUUAAAUAUUUAGGAAGAACAGGUAGAAUUAGUGAUAUUAAUUUAUUAGAUACUUAUAUGACAAAAAUAAAAGGACUAAUAGGUGAAAAGAUUUGGAAUGAAUGGCAAAAUCAUCCGAAGAAAAAUGAUAUUGCUAUAGGACCUAGAAUCAGAAUCCAACAUGUCUAUGAUAUACUCAGACAAGAGUGUAGCCAAAUAAAAGCUAAGAGACAAAUUAGGAAACAAUUUUACAUGUGUUGUAAAAAUAUAGAUUUACCACAACAGUAUGGUUGCCAUAAGAAAAUAUACAAAAAGAAAUAUAAGUCGUAUAAACCCUACAAACAACAUAAGAAUUUCAGCAUAAGACCUUCAAGAACAUAUAGGAAAAGAAAAUAUAUUCCAAAACAAUUUAGAAAAAGAAGUGGCAGACCUUGGAUUAGAAAAUAUAAAGCACCGAAAGAUAAGAGUAAUUGUAAAUAUUAUUCAUGUGGAGAAGCUGGACAUAUUAGACUUAAAUGUCCAAAAUUAGGUAAACAGUCGAAAGAAAAAAGUACAUUUGAUGGAGUUGUUUAAGUUAGAAGAAGAUGAGGAUAUUCAGUCAAUAUACAGUUUAGAUAAUUUAAGUGAUAAUGAGAGUAUUUAUAGUAUAGAGAGUAUUAACAUGAUAGAUUCAGACUCAGAAGAUUCAAGUAACAUAAAUAGUGAUCUAGAAGAGUAUAUGUGUGCAUUCAUAGAUGAACAGCAUGAAGAAGAAUAUAAAUAAAUCAAUUUAGGUUAGCCAGAAAAAUGUCAUAAGUGUAGUAAAUUAGUUGCAAAUAAAUACUACAAUACAUACUCAAUAUUAUGUGUGAAAAAUGUUACAGUAAUAGGUUAUUAGAAGUUAAUUCAGCAGAAUCACAAGAAAAUACUGAAAUAUUAGGAAACAUUGUUUAUAGUAUAGAAAAACCAAAAAAUAGUUCUUUAAUUACCAUAUAUUGUGAAAUAGAAUUAGCAAAAGAACAUAAGAUACAAACGAUAGCUAUGAUAGAUACAGGGAGUACAAAAAGUGUCAUAAAAGAAGAAUUAGUACCAGAAAAAUAUAGACAAAAAUUAGCAAAACCAGUAAGAAUAACACAAUUUGAUGAGAGACCAGUUUACUUAACACAUUGUAUAAAUAAUGAGUUUAUUAAAGUAGAAAAACAACAAUUUAAUUUACCAUUAACAUUUGUUUCACCAGUAGAAUCAUAUCCAUUUAUUUUAGGUUUAAACUUUUUGAAAAGCUUGCAAGGUUUUUUUUAUUUAUGAACCCUAACAUAACAUUUUUCAAAAGAGGCAUUACAAUAACUGACCAAAGUAAUACUGUAGAAGCAUACAAAAACAUAAGUAUAGAAGAGCCUAGUGACCAAGAUAGUUAUCAUUUAGAAAACUCAAAAUAAAAUGAUGAGCAUAAUAACGUAGAAGAGUUUGAUGAAGACAUUUUUGAACAUGAAUACCCGAUUUUAGAAUAAGGAACCUGUAUAGAAAUAUUACAGUUAGAUAGACCAAAGAGUUUAGAAGAAUUGUUACAAUUAGCAGAACAAACUAGGAUUAUAGGAGAAGACCCACAAUUACAUUGGAGUAAAAUACUAGCAAAAUUAGAUAUAAUUAACCCAGAUUUAACCAUUAAGACGGCUGAUAUGCCUUGUAGUCUAAUAGAUAAACAAGAGUUUGAGCAGCAAAUAAAAGAGUUGUUAAAUUUAAAAGUAAUUAGACCCUCUAAGUCCAGACAUAGAUCAGCAGCAUUUAUUGUAAGAAAACAUUCAGAACUAAAGAGAGGUAAGGCUAUAAUAGUUUAUAAUUACAAGAGAUUAAAUGAUAAUACAUACGAAGAUAGUUAUAAAUUACCAAAUAAGGAUGAGCUUAUAAAUAAAAUUCAAGAGAGUAAAUAUUUUAGCAAAUUUGAUUGUAAGUCAUGUUUUUGGCAAAUAAGAUUAGCAGAAGAAUCAAUUGAGUGGACAACUUUUAGUUGUCCAGAAGGACAUUUUGAGUGGCUCGUUAUGCCAUUUGGACUUAAAAAUGCUCCAUCAAUCUUUCAAAGAAAGAUGGACCAAAUUUUCAAGAAAUAUGAUAAUUUUUGUAGUAUUUAUGUAGAUGAUAUUUUAGUACAUAGUAAAAAUACAAAUGAACAUAGGAAGCAUUUAGAGAUAGAUUACAAGAAUUUAUCAAUAAUGGAAUUGUAAUUAGCAAAAAUAAAAUAGCAUUAGAAAAGCAAGAUAUAGAAUUUUUAGGAAUGUAUAUUAAGUCAGGUACAAUGCAAUUACAAGAUCAUAUAGCUAAAAAGGUGUUAGAAUUUCGAGACAAAUAAGAAGAUAAGAAACAGUUACAAACAUUUUUAGGAUUACUAAAUUAUGCAAGAAAUUUUAUCCCUGAUUUAGGAAAAAAGAUAGCAGUAUUACAUAGUAAAACUAGCAAAACAGGACAAAAAUAUUUUAAUAGUGAAGAUAUUAAAUUAGUUCAAAAAAUAAAAGAAGAAAUUACUAAACUUAAGCCAUUAACAUUACCAUUAGAUGAUAGUUACAAGAUAGUCGAAACAGAUGCUUCAUCAUUAGGAUGGGCAGGUAUACUAUACCAGAAAAAGCAUAGGGAGUCUACAAAGUCUGACGAACAAGUUUGUAGAUAUUUCUCAGGAAAGUUUAGUGAUAUACAGUCAAGAUUACCAUCAACAGAUUUAGAAAUUCUAGGGAUAAUUAAUUCACUUGAAGCAUUUUCUUUAUUUUUACAUAAUGAAGUAUUUACGAUUAGAACAGAUUGUCAAAAUAUAGUUUCUCAUUAUAACAAGAUACAUGCUACUAAACAGGCAGCCCGAAAAUGGGUUAAUUUUGUUGAUUCAAUUACAGGAAAUGGUUUUAAACCAAUUUUUGAACAUAUAAAACGUAAUGACAAUACAUUAGCUGAUAUCUUAUCAAGAUUAAUUUGUUGAACAGGUAUGGAAUAUCGUGUACCAUCAUCAGCAAAUAGCACAAGGCUGCAAGGUAGAAGAAUUUCUUUCAAUGGCAUGAUGAUGCACCAUCAACCUCCACCAUUCAGUGGAUUUCAAAAUAGCAUGAGCAGACCAGCAUCACCACCAGUACCUACGUUAAACUUUAAUGGCAAUAUUGUUGAAGGAAUCAGAAAUACAACUCUGAGAUAUAGGUCAAGGGUACCAGGGCUUUCUGAUAGGCAGCAGGUUCUCUUAGAUACUUUUUGGAAUAUCCAAAUUAAGCAGCCAAGCAUGAGAUUAGGUCAUGAAAAAUUAAUUAGAGCCUUGGUGCAAGAGUUUGAUAGCUUUAAUUUUAAUUUCCACCAAAACCAGCAGCAUAUUCAUUCUCUUGAGCACAACCUUCAAGCCAUUUCUAGGGACCAUGAGUCAUUACUUGGUAAGUUUACCAAAAUGAAUCAAGAACUCCAAUCUCUUAGGAUGCAGCAAAAGGCAAGUGACACCUUGAAAAGAGAAUUGAAAAUAGAUUUAGAAAUUGAUCAGCAUAAGAAUAAAGGAAAAGAGGUUAUUGAACCCAUAGGACAAUAGGCUAAUGACCCCAUAGAAGAAAUUAAGAUUGAGCUCUAGAAGAAGACGUUGAAAUGGAGCAACAUCAAAAUAAUGAACAGCAUCAGGUUCUGAGUGACAAAGAAAAACAAGAAAAAUAUGAAAGUUUUCUUAGGAAUAUAUCUUCAGACUUGAUAUUAGAUGAUGUUUUAUUAGAAGAAAUUUCAAAGGAAAAACUAAGAAUAAUGCCAACAGACAUGCAAAAUGAGAUCUUGAGCAGAGCAUCACAGUCCAUGAAAGAGUUACAAUUACAAUUACAAUUACAAUGGGCCUUGUAUCAGUCCAUCUUUAAUCCAAAACCAGGGAUGGAUAUUAUUACAAAGAUGUAUCCUCCAUGUCUUUGUGAUAGUACAGAGAAUUGUAUUUGUAAACCAGAUGUUAGCGUAGCUGUGGCUAGGAUUAACAUGAAAGAUUUUAAAUCAUGGCAUUUUAGUUAUGAGCAUCAGAAAAAGCAUAAUGUGAUAGAAGUUACCCCUACCUUACUAUUAGAGUUUGGUUAUCUCGAUAAAAUAUUUAUUAACCGUAUUUCUCAACUAGAAUUAUUUCCUGAAAAGCUUAUAAAAGUAGCAGAAGAUUAUCUAGAAAGGUGGAAAGAAAUUUGCAUAAGUUUUAUUAGUAGUCCUCCAGAUUGGUAUGUACAUAUGCAUAAGGAGAAAGCUAGGCAUAUAGCCAUGAUCAAUGAAGAGUCCUUUAGACUAAAUCCUAUCUCCUCACAUAGGUGGACUCCUUCAUACAAAGAUAUUUUAAAAUUUAGAGAGAUCCAAAUGCUUGCUUUGGAUAAGUUUGAAGAUUUUAGGUAUGACAUGGUACUAGUAGCAGAAGAAGAGGAGAUGUAUAUUUACAGUAAGACAAGAAUCAGUCAUCAGCCUUAUUGGAAGCCCCAAAAUUUCAAAGAAGAAACAACAGAAAUAUAUUACAAGGUGAAAGAAGAUAAAGAAAGAGAUGCAGAGCUAGUAGAAGACGAUGAACAGUAUUGGAAUAAUUUGUCAGAAGAAGAGCUGUAUAACAUUGACAACAUGAUAGAAGCCUGAAGAGCUAGCUGUAAAUUAGCAUAAGUUGAAUAUCAUCAUAAUGUAUUUCCAGACAGAAAUGUCAACAUCUUUGUGGUCCGCAUGUAAUGGCAUAAGAGUAAAUAAAGAGAAGAGUCUGAUCUAUUAUGGACAUUUUCAUACAUAAAAUGUCCUUAUGGUUAAGAAUGAAUAGUACAAAGCCCUUUUCAUUAAAACUCCUUUUUUUAUUUCUAUUUGGUUCUUUUUUUUUCGAGUUAAGUUUGAUGUCCCAUUCGAAUUAUUUGGUUUUUCAGUUUUUUUUUUUAACCCACCCCCCUUAAGCACACUUAAGUAGAUGGAGAAACGAUUGAUAUUUUAUUUUUGUAUAAUGUUAAGGAGAUCAAAAUAUUUAAACUAAAUGAUGUGGUUGUUAAUGAUUAUAUUAUUAUUUAAAUAUUGAUUAACGUGUUUAUUUUAUUAGUAACACAUCAUUUAAUUUUUCAAAUUUGAUUUAAAAUUUUGAUGUCUCUAUCAUUAUCCAUACUAAGGGCAUGACGGUCAAAUGACGUGGAAUAAGUUGGUGUAUUUGAGGGUAAUUUCAUUGUUUUGUCAAAAGCGUAACCCUAAAGGUGAAAUCUCCAAACUCGUGCAAUCUCUCUGAGUCUCUCUCGCACAGACGAAGCCAUGAUCCGGGUACCCAGAGACGACGCCAAGCGCGGAGGCGGAGGCGGAGGCAGAGGCAGAGGCAGAGGCAGGGCCAAUUCGCUCGCGCGAUCAGAAUCCGGGCGGGGGAAGAAUCCAGCCCAGCCAGCGGAGCUCCGAGGUGAGUUCCGGAUUUGUCUUGGUGUAUAUAUAUGCGUUUGGUUUCUAUUUUAGGGUUUGUAAAUUCUGCAUAUUAACCAAAAAUGUUGCAGCUUAAUUGGUGUUAAACCCAAAUAUAUGCGUUUGACGAAACAUAUCAAACAAAAAAUUGCUGUUUUUCGUCACCGUGCGAGAAUUACCCUUAAAUUAAUUACAUGCCUAGUUUUUUGUUUCGAUAGAACUCCCUUCUUAUAUUGAUAAUAUGUAUCUGUUUUUGGUGGGUGAUUUUGUUGAGUAGUAAUUUGUGCCCUGCUCCCUUAAUUUGACCUGUUAAUUAGCUGAGUAAAUAUAUCUAGUAUUAAUUAAUUUAUGUGCAACAAACAGAUGAGAAGAAAGAAACAAAAGCUGUCGAAAGCUCUAUGAGUAAACUCCAACUUGAUGAUGAUACUCCUACUUCAAAGAAGAAACGUUACCGCGAGUCUAAGAAAUGCCAUUCUCAGAAUGAGCAUUGUGCAGUUUGCCUUGUGGACGGCCACCACCAACAUCUGUGUCCCUACCGGGAAAGUGUCCCGUUGGGUGUAACUAAAGUUGGAGAGGGCUAUAUACUAAUGUGUAGGACUUGUGGUUUUGUGGGUAACGUCUGCCUUCAUGGCCGCUCUUAUGCUCGUCCCUAUAGGCGGUGUUAUUGGCGUCUGAAACAUGGGUACCCAAUCCACGAGGAAGUGGAGCAAAUCAGGGCAAGACAGAGAGAAAUGGCUGAAAUGUCCAGGGCACGAGUGGAGAGAGGUGAACCAUCCUUAUUGGAUGAUACCUCUUCCGAUUCCUCUUCUGAUACCUCUUCCGAUUCCUCUUCUGAUUCCUCUUCUGAGAUAUAAUCGUAAUGAAGCUUAGGGUUGGAACAUGCGGUGGCUGCAGCUGUUGGAUUGCCUUUUCUGUUCAUUCAUGGCGGAUAGAUACUACUUUGUUGGUUGUUUUCUCGUGUGUUUAAUUUCGUU